GGGGGAAAAAAGAUGCAUCCCGGGUGGAAGCAAGAAGACUGACAACAGCAGACUGACUGUUUUUCAGUUCUGAUUAGACUCUAGUGUUGAGAUGUCUGUCUGUCAUGAUAGCAUGUACUGAGUCGAGGCCAGUACCAGAUAAGCACAUUAAACUAUAAUCCAUAAACGUAAGGUAACAACCGAGACCUAAUGGUGCUGUGACAGCAACGCCAUUGAGUUUGAGACAGUGAAAAUACAUAUGGUAUGUUGUAUCUGAACAGGUUAGCUUACGAGCUAAAGUUACUUAGCACAAAUGAAAGUUAAAACGAAGACGUUUAGCAAACUGUUAAAGCACACAAACCAUCGUCAUAUGAGAAAUCUGACACUAUGACUCUCCACAAGUUGUCCUUCAGGUCAUUAUCUUUGUGAUGUUUGUGUCUUUUAUCAAAAACCACUCUGUUCUCCGACAUGUAAACAAUCAGCCGGUCGGCCAUGUUGGAUAUACCGGUGAAUCUGACGUCGCAACAACACGCAAAUCUGAUAGUCAGAAGUGGACACACGGUAUGCAAAACUUUAGAAAAUGCCGCAAUAUCGCAGGUCGGGAAAACGUUGCUGAUGUGAACGCUUGUAUUGACAGGAUACGGGUUUGAAACAUAACAUUGACGUCUAAAAAUAAUCGCACGGAAAAAAAAACGGCGCAGGUGUGUAAGGACCUUUAAGCUUAAACUAUGUUGGAUUAAAAAUUGAGGUACAAAAGUUCACUGAGUAUUUUUGACCUCACGCAUUUUUGAACUUAUGCUUCAUCUUGUUUUUCAAACACAAAAAGACAGGCCCCUAAAACCCCCGACUUUUCUGGUCUAAACAGUCAUGAAAGCUCAUCAUUGUGCUCCGUGAUGACUGAGCUCACGCCUCCGGCCUCCAUCAUGAGGCCCUGCUUCAGAGUCCUCAUGCUGCUCAUCACACUGAUGCAGCCUCGCAAGCAUUGGCGCUCAUUUCUAGUGAUGUAAGAAGUCAAUUCGACAGCCACCCCCCAGUUCAGUCAUGCCACCGUCUCCCUCAUGUGACAGCCAGCUCUGUUAUCUACUGAGGGGGCUGGAUGACGACUGUGUCUCUCCAUCCUUCCUUUUCUUUAUGGAGCAGUGACAUAAUGGGAAUCCCCCGCCAUACUGGAGCAGGACGGCCCAGAAGCUGACAUCACACAGCAGGGGGGGAUGUGAGGGAGGCUGUCAUGAUGCUGGCAGAGGAGUCGCACAGCAUGAACUUCACCCUCUAGUGGCGAAUCGACUCCUUUCUUAGCUGAUACGUUCGGAUCAGGAUGGGGAUAAGGUAAGAAAGUGGGAGGAAGGAACAGAAACACCAAAGCUUGAGGCAGGGAGAGCACAAGCAAAGACAGGGCAUCCAUAGUAUAUACAGUCUAUGAGUUGGACUCACAAACCUCCUUGAGUAUUUGCUAAUAGGUCAGGAGUUCCUUAAGUAAGAUUUAUAAUCCCUAGAAAGAGGAAGGUAACGGACUGACUCACUGACUGACCGACUGAUUGACUGACUUCUGCUUCCUCCAGCAGAUAUUGCAAACCACAAGUUCGAGUUCACAAGAGCUCACAUUGCCAAGCACGCAAUCUGACAGUCGUUGCAUGUGAUAGAGAUGAUGGCGAGCCGCUUUCAUUAUGAAAAACACUCCAGCAUGUGAAGUCUAUCUGCCGCAGAGCCAACAAAUACACCUCCAUAUCCACGAGACAUCACCCUCAGACAUAAACGUCCCCCCCCGACACACACUCACACACUCUCUGAGGCGGAAGAGAGCAGCGUGAGGAGUGGUCCCAAUUGGCACGGCGAGCGGCAGCUGUGAAAACAGGCGGGCGGUGAUGUCAGAGCAGCAACGGACCCUGGGAAGCGAGGCCACUCUAGACGUAUUCGUGGGCAUCCAGAGGGAAGGUGGCGGAUUUGGAGUCAACCAUGAGAGAUGAACCAAGUCUGGGGAUUACAGUGUUUCCAGGUAACUUCCCAUAUUUCGAUCAACAGUUCGGCAUCCAGACAGAUCCCGUGUCUUGCAGGUGCAAAGAUACAACCCGCCUUUCUUUCCUUCCCAUUUCACUCCCUCCAUCCUCGCCUUACUCAUGGAGGGAAAGCACAGCAGAGGGCAGAGAGGGCACGCCGCCAGAUGUGCCAAGUCAAAGCAGCAGACGGCGGUGGAUCAAAGAGGACCGGGAAGGAAGCAUAUGUGAGUGUGUGUGUGUGUGUGUGUGUGUGUGUGUGUGUGUGUGUGUGUGUGUGUGUGCAGGUGGAACGUCACAGGAAAGAAAAACCAGACCUCUUAUAUUCCCUCCAUCAUACACCUUUUCAUUUCUGCUCAAAGGAAACCGUCCUAAAUUGUGAGUGAAGCAGCCGACUACAGUUUCAAGAACAAACACGGCCUCUCCGGCUCACCACACGCCGCACACUCGUGGUGUUUUCCAUUCCAUUAGAUGAUGUUAAUGAAUAUCGGAUUAUUCCAGACAAGAAGCCUGAUCCCGGACUCCGACUGCUGACUGAGCCACAGUUCAGAGGCUGGGCAUUGCUCUAUUUGGCUGAUAAAGCAGAGUGAAAUCAGUCUGGUGAUUUCACCCCAGGGAGGUUUUGUAAGGUGUCAUGUCUGGCCUCCUCCCUGACACAGCCCUGCAAAUUAGAAACUCUCAUUUUUCAAGGAAUAUCAUCUUCAACUGCAUUUAGCUUUUCAGACUGAACUCAAUGCACUCUGAGGAUUCAGACAUUAAAGGGACAUGACAGAGUUUUAUUGUAAACAAAGUUAUACAAGAUAACAUCUUGUUCACUCAAGAUAAUAAGCCUUUCCAUAAAUUAUUAUCAGUGAGUGUCCAAGAUAACUUUUCCAUGCACCAUUGUGUUAUCUUCAAGGAACACGUCAUUAUCUUGCAUGGACAGGAAAAAAGCUUGCGCAAACAAGAUAUUAAUUUGUGCGCACAAAUUACUCACUUAAAAAUGCAAUUAAAGAUAAAAACCACUUUUCGCAACAUGAUUGUAAUACAUGAUAAAUUAGUCCCACAGGAGGACGUUCUUUUGUUUGCAAGAUAUUAUCUGCAAGAUAAGACAGGAAUCUUAGUUGUGCACGCAAAAUUACUCUAUGAUUCCACAAGAUAACUGUAUUGUGCACACAAGAUAACAACAGGAUAACAGAACUUGAAAAAUAAAAGAUGCAUGCAAGAUAUUAACUGGGGUGCACAAUAUAAGGAGUUGUUCCCAACAGGUGGUUGUUAGCCGUGAACAAGUUAGAUAUCCUCUUUGGACGAUCCUCACCAACCCCGACUUGACGACAACAUCAUAAUCCAAGAUGGCAGCACAGUGCAUCAACAGUAAAGAGUAACAGUGAAAGCUCUCGCAAUGUAUUAUUUAUUAGCACUUCUGUUUUGUUUUUGUGAACUUAAAUAAGUGGUAUAUGUUGUACUGCCCAACGUCUAACUGUGAACACGGUGCUAUGGUGUUUGUAAGAGUAAAAUACUGUGUUAUGCGUUGUUUACAACUGGUUUAGCUAACAACAACUAACAACAACUGACAACGGCUAACAACAGUUGACAAUUGUAAAAAACAGCUAACAACAGCUAACUGUUCGCAUCCAUCUUGGUUUUCUGACUUGUUAACUGGAACGCCGUCAACUCAGGUGUAACGUCAUUCCCAUCUCCGACAUCUGACUUCCGAGGUAACUGGAACGCAUUAUUAUUCCCUGACGCUAAUUUUAAGUGCAUUCUAGAUCAUUACAUGGUUUCACAAGAUAAUAUCUAGACCCUAAAGACAAUAGUAUUGCCCCCACAAGAUAAAUAAAUGGUACUCACAAGAUGACAGCUUGUUCCCACAAGAUAAUUACAUUGCACUUACUAGUAAAUAAUUAAGAUAAUGAGAUAACUUCUUGUUCCUUCAAGAUAUUGUACAUGCAAGAUAAUAACUUGGGUGCACAAGAUUAAAGCUUGUUCCAGCAAGACUGUUUGAUGAUGUUCACAAGAUGAUCACUUGUUUUGAGCAGAUGAUUAUGCCGUACACACAAGAUAGCUCAACUGUUUAUCUUACCUCAAGAUAAUGACUUGUACAAACGAUAAAAUUAUCUAAUAGAAACAGGUUUAUUGUCUUGUGGACAUGAUAAAAGUAUUUUGUGGGAAUAAUCUUGUGUGCAAAUUUUAAUAAUCCUGCGAGGCCCCUGACUCUAGAUCAGGAUUAAAAGCAGACUGUCAUAUCACCUUGAGCCUGAUUUUCGGGUUCUUUAGUGAGCCUCUCUCAGUCUCUUAUCAUGAGCUGAAUCUCAAACAUGGAAACUGUCAAAACAAACCGGUAACAUGUAUGUGACAGAAAAACUGAUAAGAUACCUGAGAUCUCUGCACCCACACAGAGUCCCGGACCUGACAGCCCUCCAUGAGGCCUGAGAAACGAGCCGACCUUUCAACCUUUGCUAAAAAGUGGGCUGACAUUCUUCCUCUUCUUUGACAGAAAUACAGCCCUGCGGUCACCUCUUUCCCACUGCAGGCGGCUAUCAAUAAACGUCAAAACUAAUCAUCCUCCCCUUUUUCUCUCAGUGUGACAGUCUGCUGCUGAAUUCCUGGGGAUCUGUUUUUCUUUACAGCCUGCUGAAACUGGAUAAAGACACUAAAUGAGUGAAAUACUUUCACAGGUAUGUGCUUUAUGUUCUCGGCGGGGUAUACGACCAACACGUGGCUGUGCAGGAUCUGCCUGAGGCUAAGACAUUUUUUAGUUUCUGUUUUUUUUUUUUAACCUGAUACUUUCACUUAUUUACAACCUGAUACUUUCACUUAUUUACUGCGCAGCUGACAGCAGUGAGACAUUCCUUAUGAGUUCAGGUGGAUCUAUGCAAUUCCCCUGCAUGUUUUAACCCUUCAUCAUCGCUCUGUAGAGCUGAUUUAUUUAGAUGAACAGAUUACAGACAAAGUUAUUAUCUCAGGAAUAAUGAGACAACAAAAAGUUGACAACAAAAAGUGAGCCUGAAGUUGAAUAUAGGGCUGAAGUUGUUGUUUCAAAGGAAAGAAAUCUGCUGUAUCUUGAGCUGAAAUCAGAAAUGCAUUGUUAAGAUUUGCAUCCUCCAAACUGGGUAAAAGUUUCUUACAAGUUUCACCUUUCCCGAAGAAUAAAAUUGCCAAUUUAGAGAGGUUUAGUACAAAAAAGUAUUGAUCACAGAAAAGCAAACACAUCCAAACAUUUUCACUUUUUUGUGGCAAAAAUAAGACUCUUGAUUUGUUAGUUUUCAUGUGAAGUAACCUUUUUUUUUCCGAAAAAGUUCCUCAUAUAACUUUUUGACAGCUAAAGAAGUCUGCAGAUUUGAAUCCAACAGUGCCACAUUUGUACCACCCUCAGCUAGCUUGAGUACUUUCUUCUUCUUCUGCUUCUUUUGGUGUCUCCAAGAUUAUUUUAGGUAUUUCUUUCACCGUUAUUUAACAGACCAGCUUGAGAUAGACAGGAAAUGUGGGGAUGAAAUACACCAAAUCAUGUCGAGACUGGAAAACCAUCCUACAUCGAGGACUGUUGACUCUGUACAUGGGGUGCCUGUCUGCUGUACCAACUGAGCCAAAUCUGCACGUCCAAUUUUGUUUACCACUUCCUCUUCUUAUAUUUUAAGAUGAGAUUAAAACAUGCAUGAACUUUUUUGUAAAUGGCACCAUCAGGUCUGCAUUAUAAUGUCUAACAUGACCGUAGUUUCUGUAGGACCUUGUAAAGGAACCUAGAAGCACUGUCGUAGACUCCAUUGGAUUCAAUAUUUGAUUCUUUUGUGGAUUGGUGUUUCCAACCCAUAGCAUACAACAACAAUAUAAAUAAAUAAAUAGAUUUAAAAAGCAGACAAUAGGACAAAUGUGAUGCUACAGAGGCUCAAAUAUUUCAGGCAAACAGGCUAAAGGAAACCUGCAUUCCUUUGGAUCCAUUCCUUUUAAACAGGAGUAGAGGCCACACACCUGACAGAGCGGUUCAAGUUUCUUGUCUUUGUCUUAAACACCAUCCCCAACCCAGUGUUUUGCUCUCUUCCACAUUCCUCUUCUUGUUGUCUUUUGACAUCUUUUAUUUCAUCACACAUAUUUCCAUCACGGCACGGCUUCUCUUUCCCUCUUCUUUCCAAAUCCACCGCUCUUUUAUGGCGUGCUUUACCUCAUCUUCUACAAAUCUUUCACCGCUGCUCCUCUCUCUCUUUUGAAAACCACAUGCUCUCCUCAUGUGUAUCCUGGCAGGAGAGCAGAGUAGGUGGGUUUCUUUGUCCUCGGCUUGUUAGAGAUGGAGAUUGUCUGUGUUUCCAGCUGCUUGCUAAAAGGCUGUCUGGCGUGUCAAUCUGUCAGCAGAUCCACCUGACAGAAGCAACAAGUGCUCAGAGGGAGGAACGUUUCACUCAAUGACCCCGGGUUAUCCACCCAAGGGCUGCAACUUUCCAUCACUGACUAGUUUUUUUUUUCUUUGUUUCCACGUUUUAAGAAUCCACACUAACAGUCAGUUAAAUAAAGGCCUGAUGUUACUGUCCGCUCUGUUGUAACGCUGAAGCGGAUGAAUUGCUAUGUUUAAUUACGAGGUAUCAUAAUUGUCACAUUGUUGUGCAUCGUAAUGUUGCACAUCAUGUCAUAACACAUUGUCUCAUAGCGCAUUGUGCUAAAAUGCAUUGUGUUAGGGUAAGAGUUAGGGUUUUAAUGUAUCGUGAUCGUACUGUAUCAUAUUGAAAUGAAUUGUAUUAGAGUGCAUUGUGUCGAAGUGCAUCUUAAUGUUGCACAUCAUGUCAUAACCCAUUGUCUCAGCGCAUUGUGUUAUACUGCAUCUUCUCAUAGUGCAUUGUAUUGUAUUGUAAUGCAUCACAUUCUAAUGUAUCGUGAUCAUACUGUAUCAUAUUGUAAUGAAUGGUAUGGAAGUGCCUCAAAUCCCUGUGAAUUAUAUCCUAUGUAUAAUAUUAUAGUCAUCGUAUUGUAGUGCAUUGUGUCUGGCAGAAUAAUGCGCUUAAAAAGGAGGUAGAUCAUCCGGAUAAGAGUUAAGAAGCCGGGUCAACAAUGAUGGGGGAUGCUUCGGGAUCUUACAGAUCCUGUAACCUUUCUGUUGGACAGGUAAACGGCUUUAACUAAGUAAGCCAAGUGUCUGUAACAGAAGUGUUUCUUGUCAAACGGGACCUGCUGCGUGUUGUAGUACCACUAAACUGUUUACCUCGGGUAAACCUUGAGUAGGUCACUUAAUCCUAGUUGUAGAAGUCCUGCAAAUAUUGUGUUUGUUGGUAGUCUGUUGGCAUCUACAGUAGCACCAAUGCUUUUUACUUUCACGUUGACUGGGCUCCAUUUGUAAUUAUCUGAAGUAUCUAUCUGCAUUAUAUCUGAAUUUAACUGGAACGAUACGGGUGAGCAGGAGCGUCUGUUUGUGGGCGGGGCUUGCUGGAGCAGAGAGGGAGGGGAGAGGAGUAGCUGAGGGGAAAACUGGUUAGGAGGGGUAGUGUUUACAUUUAAGAUUUCUCCCCAAAACUGGCACAUCCUCAGAUCCUGCCUACCCCACCUUUAAUGUGCAUGAUAUCAUGGUGUAUCGUAUUUUAGUGCAUUUUGUUGUAGUGCAACCUAAAGUCGUGUGUUGUAUCAUAGUGCAUUUUAUUGAAACACAACAUACUGUUGUGUUUCAGUGAAUUGUAAGAUCCUUUUUACAGACAGCAGUAUUGAACAGCACAGUAGUGCAUUGUAUUGCAAUGCAUCAUAUCCUUAUGCAUUGUGGCCUAGUGCAUCUUAUUAUAGUGUAUCAUACUCCAUUACAUUGUGUCAUAGUGCAUUGCUUUUUAAGUGCACCUUAUCACAGUGCAUUGCAUCGUAUUGUAGUGCAUCAUAUUAUAGUGCAUGGCAUCGUAGUGCAUUGAAUGCAAUGAGUGUUCAUGCAUCGCAAUGUAAUGUUUUGUAAAAUUACCAUCUUUAAAUAUUUAUAUAAGUCUGAAAAUGUGGAACAGCAAAAUAACACAUCAAGUUAAAAGAAAAUGAAGGUUGAAAAAGGACUUAAAAGUCAGUAAAGAUAAAUACUGCUUAUCAGGUUGUUUAUGCGGUGAUGAGAAACACUCAUACUCAGACUCAGACUCUUAAAACACCCCUGAUCACCACCACAAGUGGACUUAAUCACUCUUAAUUCUUCGUCGCUGUACUUGCCAGUGGAUUCUUGUGCCCAACACAAAAGAGGCUCCUCGGUGGCUCUCCACUGGUAUUGUUUUCGUGCCACCACAGUGUAAUUUAGCGAUAAGUGGACGGGGUCAGUUCAGGUUUUUCUUUAAGAGCAUGUUGUUGGGAUCCAAACCAAAAUGAGUUUUGGCUGUUAUAACUAAGAGUCAUUAUGCUGUUUUAAAACCAGUUUUGGUACUACUUUGAAAAGAGGCCGAUAGUGAAACUUUGGAGAGGAUGACAAAGCAAAAGGAGGACAGAAAGGUCAGGAAAGGUAGCUUUGAGGUCCUUCAGGCAUCACCUCACUCCAUCUUGGAGACAGACAGACAUAAUGAAAGCUGGCUGUCAGAGGAGACACAGAGGAGCAGCCCUGAACUGUACAGCUGAAGGCUCCAAUGACAGUAAUGUCAAUAAUUACAGCUUUUAUCUCAGUGGAAGGUCACAAGGUGCUUGAGUGGCUGCGUCAGAGUGGGAGAGUCCCCUGUUGAGAGUGUGUGUCUCUGCAUAAUGCGCACUGAAGUCUGAGUUUGCAUAUUGUUUCUGACUCAUCUGGUCUGCAGAGGGGAGAAGGGGCUUUAUUGUAGCUGCAGCAGCUGCUCAGACAGUCAGUUCAUGGGGUCAAUGUGACAGUCGGUAAAUCAGUCGGUUUAAAGUUUCAGAAAGUGGACUCAAUUAUCUUUCAGGUCUUGGAAAAUGUGAUUUAUGAAAUUACAAAAAGCUGCCAGCGAAAUGAGAGUCCAUACAUUAUGCGAUCCAAACUGACUGCUCCCUUUCUUUCCUACUUUUAGUCCUCUGUCCUUUUCAUCUUUCCCUCACACGUCUCCUCUGUCACUGGCUAAACCCUCUCAGGCUCGUAUUUCAGAGCUGAGUAUGCUGUUACAUUAGGAGGGGGGAGCUGUGGUCAUGGUGUACAAGGAACAUAAAAGAAAAAUGAAGCAUAUUUUCACCCUCCUGUAUAUCCUGAAGUGGAUCUCCAUCCGUCCAGCAGGUUCUGAUUACCACAGAUGACGGGCCAGUCAUGCUCAAUCAGCUGCAUGCCUCAGUCCGUCUUACUGCCCUCUCACGUGUUCCUGAAGUUUAAAUACUGCUGCAAAAGCAAAAACCGAGGUGAAGUGGUUGAUGUGGUCAGGAAUCUUUCAAAGUAUGUUUCAGCGGGGACUCAUUUAUCAGACCCACUCAGGAACCGCAGUCCGUGCCCUACAUCCAGAUUCUUUGUUUGGAUUCGGCUCCGGAGUAUCAAUUUGUCAAGUGUGAGGGUAAAGCUGGACCGAGUCCAGGUGCUGCAGCUGUGACGGGCGGAGAGGUGCAGGAAUGACUCGUUGGACCGGAGAGAGUUUCAGGUGUACACUCUGGAGACGCAGGAGGAAAUUUUACUUUCAGAUUUGAUUGUCUGAACGCUGUGGUUUGACUCCCACAGGCCUCUGGGGUGCUGGUUUGACCUGGUGGCUUUUUGACUCUUAGCUUGUUCUCAUGCUUUUUUGUUUUUACUGUCUUUCUUUUUUUCUAAAUGAACCACACACCCCACACACAGUGAGGGAUAAAACUUUUUAUGAGUGGAGACAUGUGAGUGGAUAAAAAAGAAAAGUUUCCCCAUGAUCAUAAAUUGGUACAACGAGGCAGCAACUUCUGGAUGUAAUAAUGAGGACAAUACUGCAGUUCCACCUGUGUCCACUUGGGGCUUACUUCAAAAGUCAGGAAACCCCAUUACCCCCAAUUUCUACCGAAUCCAGAACGGCUCUGAUCAGGAACAGUGGUGAUUUCCUGUGUCCGCCAAUUCCUACUGGAUCCGUUUGUGAGGCGAGUUUCAGGGCGAUCAGCUUCGAUUGACUGAUUCGGCCUUUUCGCAGCCAUUUUGGAUGCGAUGGAAAUUGGGGGUCAGACUUCACUUUUAAAACGCAGACUCUCAAACCAGGAUUCAACAUGUUGAUAUACUGGUACAGCAACUUUUUUAUCUGUAUUUUCUUCUUUUUUUAAAAAUAUCUGAAGGUUGUAGCAACUAUAUAUAUAUAUAUAUAUAUAUAUAUAUAUAUAUAUAUAUAUAUAUAUACAUAUAUACAUAUAUAUAUAUAUAUAUAUAUAUAUACAUAUACAUAUAUACAUAUAUAUAUAUAUACAUAUACAUAUAUAUACAUAUAAACGCAAGAUGAAUUACGCACACUGUUAGCCAAUGGAGACUGAUGGCCGCUUCAGGAUGCUCGCCCAGUCAUAACAUUACAGUCUACGGUGCAUGUAGCAUUUAAAUAACCAUAAAUUGCUUAAUUUUAAACUGAUGUUCAAACGGUUUGGUUUGUAACAAACCUCAGAGUUGUAGUUACGUUCCUGCAUACUCAAGAAUAAUUUAAACCAUGGAUUUUCAUAAAUAAACAUUAGGCAGAUAGGUAGAGCAAUAGCUAUAGGCCUACACACCUGAUUCAAAUGAUCAGCUCGUUAGUAAGCCAUUACAGAGCUUGAUAACGAGCUGAUCAUUUGAAUCAGGUGUGUUGGAGCAGGGAAACAUCCAAAACAUGCAGGACAGUGGACCUCAAGGACUGGAUUGAGAACCACUGACUGAGACAAAAAAAAUAUGCUGUCAUACAAUUAAAAUCUUGAUUGUGGUCUCAGCCUUAAUAACUCGCGCAAAGUGACUCAAAGUUAGCCUUUGCCCACACAAAAAGCUGUGAAACAACUCUGCUUUAUGAUUAGGUCUAUUUUUAUCAAAGAAAAUCUGCCAUUUCACUUUGUCCAAGCAUCCCGACUCAUAGCCAUGUUAUUAAGGUAUGUAAUAAAUAAAACCAUUUGUAAAUCUGUCAAGGGUUCACCUUCCAUCAGCUACCAUACAGUGUACCAGAAUGGUACACUUAAGUAAGAUGGCCGCCGUGUACGGACACCACCUCGAUUCAUCUAGCCUUUCUUGUAUAUGUCUAUGGUAGCAACCAUCGUCGGAAGUCCUUUGCUCUUAUUUCUAUGAUGGGAACACUUGAUUUAAAAGUUCAUAAGUCCCACACAGAGAGAGAGAUCUUUUUAGACCACACUGGAAAAGGGUGAAAGAAAGAAAGAAAGUGGAAAGAAAACUGGAGAAAGAAUAUGAAAACUUUGAAAACACCCAGUCCAGGUGUUUUAAACACUAAGUUUAAAGGUCUUUCCAAGGUUUCUUUUGCUUUCUAUAUGAAGAAGUUGACUGUUACUCUCAUGAUGACUGAGUUGACCGUAAGGAGUCCAACCUGCCUGCACUUCGUCACCAAUUCCCCUGUCGACUCCUCACUCAUUUAGUCCCAAAAACAACCCCACAUGACCACAAAUACUCAGCAGACAGACACUGUCUGACUGCUCACAGGUCAGAACCAGGCUACGGCUUGUUUUGAUGCAAAGCUUUCUGGGAAUUUUCUUUCUAAUUGCCUUGUUUACUUUUCCAGGAGUGUUUUCUUUUUCUUACCGUGAUGAAUGAUGACUUGGACAGGACAUGAGCAGGGAUUACUGGACACUUUGGCCGCUGCAGCAUGGGUGAAUACAUUCCUGUAGGAGUCCAAAUAUGACCACUUUCUGUUUGAAACCUCAAAAACGGACACUGCAGGCAUGCCAAAGUUUGGGGAGAAGUGCUUUUUCGAGCACGGACAAAAUACAUAAUUUGCAGAAGGGAGGAGGGUAAUGACAUUUGAAAGAGUAAUUGGUUGGUAUGAAAAAACAACACACACCUUUGAGCCAGUUUAUGUCAUCAGGAAAAAUAUGGAAAGUAUGCUGAGGGGAAAAAAUGACCCCGAAACUCUGGUAAUUCAUGUUUAUGUGUGUGUAUGUGCUCGUACUCUCUAGGUGUUUGAAUGCAUAAAUCAGCGUCCACGUCCCGGUUGUGUUUUCUUCUUGUCACACCAAAGGGUGAAAUACAUCUCUCUAAGACCAGGGUUCAAGCAAUUUGUCUUCGUUGGUACAGAACAUGUAAACAGUCAUAAAUCGACACCAUGAGGUGAUGUAUGUGUUUGUGUAAUUCACCGCACUGAUACAUCCUCUCAUGUCGUGACUUUUCCUCCCUGUCUCCGAGACACCUGAGGAGACAGCGAGGGUUAUUGUUUGGGGAUUUCUACCUCCUCUUAGCAGUCAACAUGAAGCUGUAAAGAAAUGAAAUAAAAGAUGGAUGAAGGUCGCCACCCUUCUCUGUUUUUGUUGUUGCGAGCUGAACUAGUUCCCUGACAUGACUUGUGCAUGCAUGAAAAAUAUCAAACAAAACAUCAACAUGUCCUGUUGUGCAACAUUUCGAGGAAAUAGCCACAGCUUGGCGAUUCAGGAUUUUAAUCUACUGGAACGCCUUCCAGCUGUUAUACUGAGGGCAUAAAAACUCAGUCAACAACCACAACAGUGGUCACAGCAACCACUGCAUCCGCCACUCACAUUCCAGCCUAACCACCAUGUCUGAACCCACCUGCAGGUCCAGAUUCGGGGGUCUAAAACAUUGUCCUAUCAUUUUCUUAAAUAAAAAUGCUCACUUAAUCAUCUUAAAUAUGAAGCCAGCAGUGGGUUUAAAGGUUAAAACUUAAAGCUCCUGUGGGGAAUGAAACAGACUAAAACAAAUACUAAUCGCCUUUUUAUAAGCCACAAUCAUAACAAAGUCCAUCACAUGACAAUCUUUUAUUUUUGGGUUGUUACAGCCAAAGUGAUCACCUGAAUGGUCUUUUUUUUCCAUUUGGCAUGGCAGAGUUAUUUAAUGAGCGGCACAUUUGACCAUUAAGAGACGUAGGGACAAGUUUUGUAUAAAAAAAAAAAUGCUAAAAAAAUCAACAAGGGCAUAAGCCAAUGAAGUUCCUCACAGUAGUUUUAAAAAGUCACACAAUACCCCCCAAAAGAACAUCUCAAAGAAAAUUUUCCAGCUAAAUAGGCAAAUUUGCAACAGUAAAGUAACAUGACUGGAUGUAAACAGGUUAUCCUAGAGAGGGUGAGUCUCUCAGAAAUGAGAGUUAAAGGGAUAUUCCAGCGUAAAACUAAUUUAGGGUCAAACACACCGUAACACUGAGUUAGACACCCCCUCAAGAGAUGAAUGUUGCCGACCGCUUGCUUCUCUUGUUAUACCAACUUGAGUAACGACUGCAUGAUAGCAAUACGCAGCGGUCUGAGGAGCCAUAAACAAACCUCAACCAAAAAGCCACUCUAUAGCCACAAAUAAUGCUCAGAACAGCAGCUAACUUCAUCAACAGUACAUAGCACCAGAUACCAAACAUCUUUUCAACUUUGCUUAAUUUUUUUCGCAAAGAGACUAAACACAACUCACCUACUCUCUUCCAGCGGCCGCUUGUUUGUAGCGAGACCUCGGGCCAGUUCAUUACGGACUACAGCGGGGUGACGCAGCUCAAGGAAGAACAUUUAUGAUCAUUUCAAUGCAAUCAGGCCGAGAGGCUAGGGCAGAAGAACUACAGCAUCUGCAGUUCAAAAUGAUUAAUAUGGUGAUUAUUACUUCAAGGAAAUGAUAAAGAAAUGAUCAUAAAUGUUCUUCCUUGAGCUGCGUCACCCCGCUGUAGUCCGUAAUGGACUGGCCCGUGGUCUCGCUACAAACAAGCGGCUGCUGGAAGAGAGUGGGUGAGUUGUGUUUAAUCUCUUUGCUAAAGAAAUUAGACAAAGCUAAAAAGAUGUUUGGUGGCUAGUAGUAUGGUUGGGACCCUUUGUGUACUGUUGAUGAAGUUAGGUGCUGUUCUGCGCGUUUUGGUUGAGGUUUGUUUAUGACUCCUCAGACCGCUGUGUAUUGCUAUCCUGCGGUCGUUACUGAAGUUGGUAUAACUACAGAAGCAAGCGGUCGGCAACAUUCAUCCUUUGAGGGGGUGUCUAACUUGGUGUUACAGUGUGUUUGACCUUAAUUAAUUGUACGCUGGAAUAUCCCUUCAAUGCUCUGUGAGAGACUGUAUGAAUAAAUAGUUGAACAACUUUUGAAUGGCCAGAGUGCAGUGGUGCAAACUACAUGUCAUCUUUCUGUACCCAAAAAGACAAAGCUGAGAACCAGCACUGGACUGAAGCAGUCUUCAAGCCCUUAAGGUGGCACUGCAUAUAAAAUCUGACAUGCCUCUGUAGUGGAAGUCAUCACAUGGGCUCAAAAUCACUUGUUUGUGAACAGUAGAUACACAUAUGCCGGUUAAAACUGUACCUUGUAAAGAGGAAACCACAUGUAAACAUGAUCCAGCAACAAUGGUGGCUUUUCUUGGAUGUUCUUAUUUGGGCCUAUUUGUAAAUGUGCUGACAGAUGCGCAGAUUGUGAUUGCAGCUUUGGUUGGCUCUGUGGUUAAAAACAAAUUUACUUCAGGGGUCAGUUAGUUUAUCUGUUUUCCAUUAUACUCUCUGCUAGCCCUCAUUGUUGUUAUCCUAGUUUGCUAACCUCAAGUUUACCAGCUUCUGUAGGAUGACUGGUUCAUUGGCAUGGUUGAUGAUAUCCAACACUGCAUUUAGGCCGUCUUCAGAAGCUGACUGUUUCUGGUAUUCGGGUGACUUUACAAACCUCCCCAGAUGUUUUGCCCCUUUAGGUAGAAAAGCAACUCAGGACUUUCCCACAUUUGUCAUCUGGACUCCUUCCUCCAGAUGACAAAUUUAAAUAAGCUGACACAAUAAAUAUUACGUUAAAUGCCAUGUGGACUCAACCAAAAUUUUCCCAAGCUUCAAAUAUUUACAUACUCAUCAAAACACUAGGUAAGUUUGCAUGUCUGUGGUUUCCAGCAGUGUCAGUGUCAGUAAACCGGUUCAAACCUGUUUGUAAUUUAUUACUAACAAAUCGUAUUUUGUGAUGUUCACAAGCUGCUGAUGUCAACCCGCCCAGAGAGUCUGUGAUCACUUAAACAAAAGGAUACCAUUGACAUGACAGAGGUAGAAAGUCUGAUGCUGGAAACUGAUUUCUUGAGAAUUUACAGGUUUUAUUGUGUAUCAGGAUCAUCUGUCUCUUUGGGUGGAGAAGUUUUCAGCACAUGCCAGUUACAGCUAACAUGACAUCGCUGCUGUUUUUGAUUUAAGUUCACAAAAGUUCUCUUUCUUUGGAGGCACCAAAGAAAGAGACCUUACACGCUCUGCUCGGCAACAGAUCAAGACAGCUACAUCUUCUCCAAAUGCCAUUUCAUAAGCGUUUCCCCUGACGCAUGCACAGAAAAGGUUUUUCAUGUAGUCACAUGUGGAUGUUGGAGUUGCAGAAGGCGCCCUGGCCAUUGAGGUGGCUGCAUGCUAAUCUUUUGAUAUGACUGUCAUGUGUUAGAGAACCAGACAUUCCGACGUCUGUGUGACUUUUAUCAUUUGGCGCAGAGUGAAAACUCCCUUUGUUGUGUUGGGUUGAUUAGCGGACCCUGUGUUUUGUGACGGAAAUGGAAGACAGUGUGAGUUGUGUUUAUAAGCAUCCAUGGUGCUAGCUCACGCCAUUAGCCACAUGUACUUCGCUAAAUUAUAUUGUACUCCGGCUUCAAACUUUUUGAGUUUGUGCCGAUGUGUCGAGAUAAAAACCGAGAAGCUCAUGAAAAGUUAGCGGAUGUUUUUUGAACUUUGAAGCCGCCUGGGAGGGCUCUUUCUGCGGAGCCACUUCUGAGAACAACACCGGAGGACGGAGUGGGACGUCACUGCUAACUUGAUGAGCUAACCUUGCUAACGGCUGGCUAACUGUUAGUCUAAAGUUACGUGUCGACGGAGAAAGUGACUGAAGUGGCGCAAAGAAGACGUCAACAAAGAUGAAAACCUCGGGAGAGCCGGCAUCUGAAGCUACCCGGCCUGCAGAAGCCUGGGACCACUGAGCUCCACCGGGCCACAGCAGGCUAAGACCACCGAGCUCCACCGGGCCUCUGCAGGACUUCAGGGCUUCAUCAGGCCUACUCCACAGAACCAGGUCAGGUCAUUCCAUUAUGGCUAAAAUGACAUUGGCUCAGGUUCAUGAACUAUUAGACCAACAGAAAGAAUUCUUUAAAGAAUCUAUCAAUCAAAUUGAGAACAAGAGCUUUGUGAACGUCAUAAUGGAAAAUACGAGCAAGAGGCUGGAUAGCAUUCUGAAAGAUGUGGAGGAAAUUUAAGAUUAGCCUCCAAUUCACACAGAAGGAUGUUGACCAACUCAAAGAGUCAUACAGCAGGCUUUCCCUGGACUGCAAAACAUUUGACAAGGACAGUGGGAGACUUGGGGAAUCCUUUAGCUCUACUAUUGUGAGUCAAUCAAGGCGAAAUAACCUAAUCAUUGAUGGUAUUCCAGAGGUUGAUGGUGAAAAAUGGGCCGACACUGAACAGAAAGUGAGGGAUAUGUUCAGAGAGAAUCUCCACUUAAACCCUACUAAGAUUGGAAAAUUGUCAUGAAGUCCAGUACCCAGAGCUAGCAGUGAACGUCUGGAAAUGGAAAAUACGAGCAAGAGGCUGGAUAGCAUUCUGUCAAACGAGGUGUCACAAUGACAGGGAAACUGUUCUUGGACAUGGUCAAAUCACAUUACUACUAUCAUUAAUGAAAAUGGGCCAGGGGAUCGCUGUUGCUCGCAGAUGUUCUACCACCUACAGCAUGAUGGAGGCCAGAAACUGAGGCAUUAGUUCUCUCCCAUUUGAAGUAUUGUAUGGUUGUAUAGUCCUCUGCGGCCAAAAUGGAGAUAAAGAAGCUCCAGCUGGCACAAAAUAGAGCAGCUAGAUUAGCAAAUUUUUUAUAAUUUUUUUUAUUUUACUUGCAUGAAAUGGCUGCACCAACGUUUGGCAUGAUUAACUGUUGAGGCUAAGUUAACUUCUAGUCUUGUUAAGUUUUCUAGUUUAAAGUGGUUGAUGUCUCGAUGGUUGAGGAAAAGCCAGACUUCUUCAGAGAUCAACUACCCAAUGCAGGUCAGAAGCAUAAUCAUCAAACCACAUUGGUGAGCUCAGGGUAUUUAUCUAUUCCUAUAUGCCAAAUUCAGACAUACUCAAGAAAUCUGUUAUCUAUACACUGAUUCGGUGAAAUGACCGGCUAAAGUGAUAUCCCUGCCCAAAGAUCAAAAAGCUGCAUUUUCUGGGGCUAAUAGUAGGCCUAUUAGCUUACUACAUUAAAACAUUACUUUAUCAACAAUGAGCUAAUCACUCAAUCCCAACAUGCAUACAGAGCUGGUCAUUCAACUAUUUCUGCUAUUGUGCAUAUGGCUGAUGAAUGGUUUCAUGAACUGGAUAAUAAGAAAAUGGUUGGGACAGUGAUGUUUGACUUCAGUGCGGCGUUUGACGUUAUUGAUCGUGAACUUCUAAGAUGCCAUUACUGUAACAUCCAUUCAGUUCUUAAUUGUGCGCGAUCCCACACCCCGCAUUUAGAUCUUGGCAGGCAUGCAUUUCUCGGCAUAACACUGAUAGCCCACGAAACAAAUAUUUAAUUCCUACAUUAUUUUUCAAUCACAUAGGCUCGUACAUAAUGAUUCAUUGCCUGUUAGCUUGCGAGGGUCAGUAUAAAUGUAACCUAGCCAGUGUUUACACACACAUCUCCUCCUACUUAAGUAUUUCACAAUGAAAUACUUCAUACUUUUCAUCUUAUUAAUUCCCAAAUUAAUAUCGGUAUUAAUUUAAGAUACCUUCAUCAGUAACCGGAGGCCACUGUCUGACAUCGUCAAACCAGGUGACUUUACUCAUGCUGUCAAUGAUGCUCUCAGACACUAAACGUACUAGCAUACGUUUAUUUGUUGAUAGCAUGACAACUUCAUGACGUCGCACACCGCAGCAAUAGCGCCGCCACAAGAUGGCGGUGUACACAAAUCGCUCACCCGAAUCGGUGUAUAGAGCCACCCAAAAAUGGAACACUUUAUCUGCAAAUACUAAACAAAUUAAAAGCAGGUACUUAUUCAAAAAAGCUGUAAAACAAAUAUUACUGAUGGAGGUCACACAACUGGAAUAAUUAACAGUUGAUUGAUACAUAAAUAUUCUGUACAUGAUGCUCAACCUAUUCAUGUAAUUCAACCUAUUGUAAUUUCUCAUCAUUGUUUUUUGUCAUUUAGAUUUAGACUGACCUGAUGUGUGUCAGUUGUUUGUUUGAAUAGUAUGUUGUUUAUGUUGUAAUGUUUUAUGGAAGGUCUUUAUGGAAGUGGGAGCUAAUGGGGCUCCAAAUAAAGAAUAAAGAAUAAAGAAUAACAGGGCAGCCUGUGGAUUCCCAAAGCCUAAAAGCCACAUUGCCAAACACUACCUGGAGCUCAUAAUCACAAAAACACAUGUGAGGCGUAGAUCCAGCUCGAGGCAAACGAGAAACAGACCAAAGAGACAAACACAUUGUGCUUAACCUCCUCGCUUUAAUCCUCAGGUCUGCACUUCGUCGGCUAAAUUUGUUUUGGUCCGCGCCUGAGCUCACAGAUAUGGCAUGUUUGAGGUCUGCCAUCUUUGACUGGUGGCCUAUGAAGUCAAAGUUUGGGCUGAUUCAGUUGGAGGCUGUUGUCAAAAUCUUACAAUAUGCCAAGAUUUAAGAUGUUUAACUGCUAAAUUAAAUUAUAGGGCAGAUUCUGAAUUCAAUUUGGAGAAUUGAGGAAACGUUUGACAAGGGACACCAUGGAGAGCACAGUUUCACGCUGCUUUCAAGGCACUUAGAGGUUGUAUGUUUCUUUUGGUGUUCAAGGAAACUUGGGUCCGGAUCAGUAUGACAAAUUUGAGGUCAUAUCAUGGGCUGAAAAGGCCAGAAAAUUGUAUCAGAGCUGCUUUUUGGGUGGUUCAACGACAGUCUAUCCUCUGACAUGGCAGUUUAAAGGUCCUUUUGGGAGUUUUAACUGGAUUUCAUUAGAAUUACAUCAGAACUACGAGCAUGGAUGACAUUUUGAUUUCAAAGGUGGGGGCGACACAUGUGACUUGGGUACUGUUGAGUGCUGUUGAGACAUAUGGCCUAGCAAACAGCGCAUCUCGCACACACAGUAACCCGGGAAUUCCACUGGAUCCGGAAUGGCUCUGCUCUACUCAGUACUGACAGGUGGAUCACAAACAUAUGGCGCACACUGGAUCCGAUCCGCCACCGCCAUCGGAGGAGAAGCUUUCACGAUAUUACUGAUAGUUCUCACGAGACUGGACAAGGUCUCACAAGAUCUCGCGUGUUUCCCCAUGAGACAAUGAAUGAUAUCCACCGAUCGUGCAUAAACGUCGGUGUAUAUAAACAUCCAUAUCCAACAACCCUGGCCUCUCCUUUUUUCAAGCUAGGAAUGGUUCAACGUAUUGACGUGCUUUUAUUUUGAAAAUUAACCUGAUAUUUAACUCUGUAGCCAAAUACAACUUCCACUGCUGCUCGUGCUGUGCUGCAGUGGCAUCCGGCAAAAAUAGAAGCCUUGCGUAUCUGAUCUGGCCGCCGGAGCUGAUCUGCAGCAGAGCCGGACCGCGGAUGGAUUCUGUGGAAUGACACACAUCGAUUACAAUGCUUGCAUAUUUGGAAUGCCUGCUGUGCCGCAGCGGAGCCAUUCCGGUUACUGUGGGUUUUGCCCGUAACAAAGGGGGCAAUAUGGCAAGCGGAUGGAUGAAAGUACAAACCCAAUACAGGGAUGUGAAUGAAACCUCCGAUGAAUGUAACAUUGCUGCCCUCCUGUAAACUUACAUUGGCGAAUAGGGAUGUUCACGGACUGACUCUUACGAGCAACUUGCAAAACACAAGUCUGGCAGGCGUGGAAUGACUGACAGCAGAGAUAGCCAAUCAAGGACCUUGUGGGCGGUCCAAACCGAGGGAAACCAGUUUUCGGCUUGAGUGGCUGUUUGGUCCUAGUGCCUGACCUGUAUCGGUGUGCGAUAGCAUGAAGUUGUUUUUAGACGGUUAAAACUGUAGGGGACCAAAACGGGCUUUUGAAAAAGUGAGGGGGGACAUGUCCCCUGUGUCCCCCCCACAAAUUACGUCUUUGACUAUGAGUUUGAUAUAACUCACAGAAGCAGACAAGACCAGUCACCCUCUGGUUUCUAAUGCAUAGUUCUGGACCUUUUUGGCAAUGGUCACAAAGUUGUUUGAUAUUAAAGCUUUUAAGUCCAGAGCUUGGAAAGAACUUAAGGGUGUUUUAUUUCCUCUUAUUUGUAAUUCAUGUUUCCACUGAACUUUCAAAGUAGCUGUUUCUUGGAAGACUUUUUCUUUUUUUCAGCUGGACCUGUUUUUUUCUGCACGGCACAAUAAUAAAAUCCAAAAUUCCCCUUAAAUUCAAAUCUUUUAGCAGACUGACCUGGUUCUCACAACACUCUGCUGAACCAACACACACGUGGAGGUCGAGGGGGACAAAGAAAAGCAGGAAUGCCUUCACGUGCAUAUGCAGUACACCUCAGCUGAUGAGAAACACAUGCCUGCUGUAGCUUUAGACGGACACAUAGCAUGAUUUUCUCAUAUAAUAUCUUUGCCAUACAGUGUAGGAGGAUGGAAGUGGUUUGAUUUGAUUAAAUUAAGGCCUUUUUUCAAGCUGCUCUCACUUACCUGCCCUCAUGAAAUCUACUGCCAAGAGAAAAUAAAGUGACGCAAGAUUAUUACAUGUGUCUUUUAUGUUGCCCCAGCCGCGGCUCGACCUGCUCGGGGUGCUGCAGUCAGAGUCUGGCCAGUGUCUUUCACUGUGGCCUUGCUGCUCAGAUUUGGCUCAAGUUUGCUCUCCCUGGACUGCACAUACACACUUCAUGCUGCAGAGUGGGUCAGUAGGACAAUGUUGUGUGUGUGUGUGUGUGUGUGUGUGUGUGUGUGUGUGUGUGUGUGUGUGUGUGUGUGUGUGUGUGUGUGUGUGUGUGUGUGUGUGUGUGUGUGUGUGUGUGUUUGUCUGGGUUUCAGUUUUAUUUUGAUCUACAACCUCACUGUGGAUCUGGUAUCCAGCAGGAUAAAGGGGGAACGGUUGAUUGCACAGUUGGCAGUGCUUUUAAUGAGGACUUUUCAUUGGGGCUGUAUGACAGGAAGAAGAAACAUUCACAUGCACAUAAACUGACUUUAAUCCCCAAACCACUGUACGUACAGUAUAUCAUAUUCUGCUGGUAUAAUCUGCAUUUUAUGGCAUGGAUAAAGAGCCUCUCAGGUGCAUGCACAUUCCACCUAAAGCCAUGCAGUUUCACGUAUAUCAUGACAAAGAGUAAUACCAACAGACAUCCGAGGCUCCAGCAAUCCCAAAGUAAACCGACACUGCCGGCGACCAAUCCCUGGUGCCGCUCUGGCAGCCGUCCAGAGUGUUCAUUUACAGAAAAACUUUCCAUGAGGUCUCUGGAUGAAGAAGCCAGAGGUGGUGCAGCGGUCUCAUGGAGGGCAGAGAAAUUUUCCCAGAUGACACUGCAUUUUGUUUUGUGACCCUUUUUAUUCUAAUUGUGGUUUGCAGGCUGCUUGGUGUUGUCCUGCGGGCGCUGACUAAAAGCCGUACGUCUGGGGGGGAAAAUAAAUGUGGGAGGAAAUGUGACCAUCCUGAAUCAUCAUCUUUCUGAAGAAAUCCCCCUUCAUGUGAUGCCCUCAUUUGGGAAGAUUGUCCUCAGAGUGUUGGAAAAUUACACCCAAUGUUUUCGACUGUGUGUCAAAAAAGACCUUUAAAAUUCAAACAGCUAGUAAUCUUGAUUGUCAGCAAUCAGCAAAUCCCUGCCCAUAACCACCUUAUGGAUGUGGGGAUGUGGACCAUCAAGCAUAGAAAGAAAAAUUUUUCAGAUUUGUGUUUAGUGAGUGCCGGAAUGACACUCAUCUUCAGAGUAAUGCUAGUGUGCUCUGUAGCAAACCGAGUCCCUGUGUGGGCUUCAUCAUUAACCUGCUCUUGUGGUCUGUGGUGGGUCUGCAGAUUUGGUGGGUAUACCCGUCAUCUACGGAUACACAGUUAGGCCUUUUACAGAAAUCCCAAAUAUGGAGCCUCAACCCGAAUUUCCACCACAUCUGGAACGGCAGUGAUUUUCGCUGUCCGCCAAUUGCUACGGAAUCCAUUUGUGAGGUGAAUUUCAUGGCAGAUUACAGACAGUGAGAAUCGCAAGAACUCACAAGAACCUGCAGAUUCACGUCCAAUCACGCGAUAACAGGUUGUCUCUAUAAAGACAGCCACGUAACCAUGUAAGCAGUAGACUGUGUCCUUCCAGAGGAGAAAAUCCACUUCUACACUUUUACAAUCACCAUCUCCUCAUCCAUGGUGUCAUCGGAGUGAAAUGCUGACUAAAACCCUCAUCCCCACCCAUUUGCAUGGUGUGAAAUACGGUCCACCUGAAACACAGAGUGUUUUAUUUUGAAAAGAAGCCAGAUGUUUUAUUUUGUGUCUGUGCCCGACUUCCUUUCCAGCACGGGCUAAUCAGUGCUGAAUUUAUCUGGCAUGCUCCGGCGUCGGAAAAGAAUAGAACUCUUCGGAGUCCGGCAAUCUGCAGUGGAACGGAAAGAAGCCAGUAGAAACGGAAACAUUAACUUGAAUGGUUACGGUCAGCUACGAUCUGCGGAUACGGCCUUUUCAUAGCUGUUCCGGAUGCGGUGGAAAUUGCGGGUCAGUGAGGCAUUUUUAAGGUAGAGCUUUCAAUUCAUGUGCAUAAUACGUUAAGAAGAAUCUGCAAGUGUCCUUCUGGACCACGUAGAUCUUCAAGUACCAUGUUUGCAAGAUGAGAUUGCUGUUGUGCCAAUGGAGUUGAUCUAGCUAUUUGUCCUCUUACCAUUUUAGUCCAUCUCUUAACAGCCUAGCUCCAAAUGAUCAAGUUCGCAAAAAUUUCAAACAAACUUUUUCACUUUGUGUCGAAUUUUGAGAUGAAACAUGAAUUUAAUCCAUUUUGGAAUAAGGCUGUAACUCAAGAAAAAGUGUAGCACUGUGAAUACUUUCCAGAUGCACUAUAAAUAUCUGAAUUCCCCUUCAAUACAAUGUCGUCUUCUGCCCAUAAAAAAUUCCCAUUUUUUUACGAACACACCGUCUUCUCUGGAAAAAUAUUUUCCAAAGCGUCCAAAAUCGGUCAAAAACAAAAGGAAACAGAUGCUUGAAAACACAUAAAUCGAUGCAGCUUUGCCAAAGACUUCAACACAACACACCCCAGAGAUGCUGACGAAGACAAAAAAACCCUUUGGGUAUUUUCACCACAUCGCAGUCGAACUUGGUUCCUGUACAACUGAUUCAGAUUUGAAGUAAUCUCUUGGUCAGGUUGGCCCUUUAACAUUAGCCUCUCUCAUUGGCUGAUUUCAGAUCAGUAGUUAGUGGAUUCUGCUGCCUUUGGGCUGUGAAGGACUUCUGAAUGAACUUCCAUCUGAAACCAUUUAAAGUGUUUAUGUCAGUGUGUGAUAUGGACAUAUGUCUCUAUUUAAACACGGCUCCUUACAGUAUAGUCUAUCGUUAACAUUGUACUGUACAUGAAAUGAUCCGUGACGCCCCAGGAUUAGGUCCAGACUUCGACAUAAGGAAAUGCUCAUGUCAAUGAAAACAGCAAAGCUUCCAAAACACCAGUACGGUAGUUAUGAGGCUGACUCCAGGAAUUUGUAGGAAAAUGGGGUUAGUUUAGGUUCGGUUUAAUUUGAAGGACAGCUUAGAGGUUUUGUGGUUUGGAUUCGUUAGUGCAGUUGAUAGCUAUGUGCCCUCCAACGAUUGUUUGGCAAGGUACUAGUGUUGCUGCUCCAACCAGCCUAUCAUAAACCAGAUGGGGAGGGGUCAGUCACCUUGGUAACUGGAAAAAUAGAUGUUAAAAUAAAUGUUUUUGCAGCUCCAGAUAUUAGCUGUGUCCAAAUCUGUAGUCACCUCAUACAAUAAAAAAAUGACUCUACGGGUGAAAUCUGUUCACUGAGCCUUCACGUGUCUGCGAAUACACCAUGGGACUGGAUGCACACUCAACCAGACAUGCAGAUUUGCACACACUCUCUGAAAGUGUAGGUGCCUCACCAGCAUAUGUCAGAAUGUGUUUAUUCUGCAGUUAGUGGUCUGUGAAACCUGAAUGAAAUCUCCCACUGUGUGUUAGCUUGAAUGAGGCUUUUACCGGAUUGUAGUCUGGACAUGCGAGGCCAUGCAUACACCACAGGUCAGGUCUAGUUGAGCUCUUGUGGAAUACACUUCCUUGACUUGAACCCGUGCAGCUGUAGUCAGAUAUUGACUCUGGGAUUUACAGUCUUGACACAAGAACAUGCAAACCUGCCUUGGUGGGCUGCUUCCAAAUGUAAAAGGCUAAAGGUCAAAGUCUAGCGUCUUUCUCAGAAUCAGGAAAAUCCAUUUGGGAUCCAAAGGAGGAUGUUUUGACUCUUGGCUGGGUGAUUUUCAUCUAAAGGUAGCAGAGAAACAGGCCAGAGGGCCUCUUUUUAUAGUUUUAUGUCUGCUUUCCUGUUUUUCUGCGAUCGUAAACUUUCGCUAUUCUCCUAAAUCAUUCUCUGAACCACAAAGCAGCCCAGCCCAGUCACCUGAUUAAAGCGGGAUACUGACGGUCGCCUAAAAUCAUUACUUGUUACCUCAGCAGACCUUAAGUUAUGACAUUUUUAGUGUAUGACAUAAGAAGAUGAAUUAGAGUCAGAGGAAGAGCGCCUCGUGCCUUCUUGACACUUUCAUAUUUGAGUGAUUGACUGAGCUGCACAAACACGAUCCAUGGCAGCGCUUCAAAAACCAUCACCAGAGGCUCCUCGUGCAUCUCCGCGGGUGUGUUUGUGAGUGUGUGUAAAUCUGUCCAGAUGUGACAAACAGAAACGAGUGCUCCUCAAAACAUUUUUUUUUCUGUCCCUUGUUGUCCACAGCACUUGGCUGCACAGACAUGGAUCAAACUCUCAGCUGUUUGGCCCGAACGUUGACUCUCUCCGCCUGUUAUUUUUGAGCGUGUUGGGCCAAAUUAUGUUGGACUGUUAGCAGAAAAACUGGUCAAAAUAGGAUGUUGUCAUCCAGUAGAGUUUUAUGUAACUUCAGUUGGCUUAUUUUUGUAUUCUAGAUAACACUUUCUUCAUAAGGUUACUCAACAGGACUUAGUCUUAACUCUGGUGGCAUGAGUGUGUUAAAGAUGUGCUUUGAAGGGCAGCCUGAAGGGUCAAACUCACAGUUGUGUUUUAAACCUCCGUGUUACACCAUUUACUGAAUAUAAACACUUAUCUUCUCCCUCUCCUGCUGCUAGAUCAGAAUGAAGCCAAUUAGCAAAAUUGAGUUAGGGUCCAACACAACAUAACACUGAGUAAGACACCCCCUCGAGAGAUGAAUGUUGAGGAUAGCUUGCUUCUCUAGCUAAACCAACUUUUGUAACGACCGCACAAUAGCAAUACACAGCGGUCAGGGCUCCCCCGCAAACAAGCGGCUGCUGGAAGAGAGUGGGUGAGUUGUGUUUGGUCUCUUUGUUGGUGGCAAGUACUAUGACUGGGACCCUAUAUGUACUGUUGAUGAAGUUAGGUGCUGUUCUGAACGUUAUUUGUGGCUAUAGAGUGGCGUUUUGGUUGAGGUUUGCACAUGGAGUUGUAGACUGCUGAGUAUUGCUAUAGUGCGGUCGUUACUAAAAGUGGUAUAACUAGAGAAGCAGGCAGUCAGCAACAUUCAUCUCUCAAGAACUCAGUGUUACAGUGUGUUUGACUCUAAAUUAAUUUUACGCCGAAAUGUCCCUUUAGUGCAAUGGUAAUCACAGCUUUGGAGACGGUGGCCGUGUCCGAAAUGGAUCCCUAACCCCUAUAUAGGUGACUAUAUGGGGGUUAGCGACAUUUUGAGGGGUGUCUGAAACCUGAGUGAUCAAUUCCAAUGCCCCAUAUAGGCGACUCAAAAUUUCCCAUAAAGCAUUGCAAAAUGUAGUGACCAUCCGUUGGCUACUCACAGGUGGUGGGCAUCCCAUUAGGUAUUGCGUCUUGCCAUGUAGUGUCCGAAACCUCCAGUAAUUGAGUUCACUACAUAGUCAGUUAUAUGGUGAAACCCCAUAUGGGAGUUAGGGAUUAGGGUUUGAGUGAUUCUGUGCAGUCCACAUCAGGUCCCAGAGACCUAGCAUUGAUGUCCCUCUCCUUCCCCUAACUGAAAAGCAUCUUUGACUCACAAUUAAGAUCUCUCAGGUGGAUAGUCCACAUGAGACCAGGUUCUUUUGCCCUCUCAAAUCCGCUUUAUGUUAUCACACUAACUUAAGACCUCAUUUUUAAGUGUAUUUUUAUAUCUUUUACAUAUUUAUUUCUACUGGGAGCGGGGUACACUUACUUUAGUCAAGAAAUGAUCAUAUACAUGUGUUCAGACGUGGACCUUCAUCAUGCACAUGAAAUUUUGAAGAGAUUGACUAACUUCCUGUCAUGUGGCCACUGUUCAUUGUUAACCUUUUAUCUAUAUAAGUAAUAAUUUUCAUAAAACAAUGACAUUACUGUGGUUUACUCAACCCUUUAUAUAUUGUCUUUGCACCUUUUUGAAUCAAAGUUGGGUUUAAAAAUGUUUUAUUCUGUCCAAAUCUGAUUUUAUGAAGAUUAGAAACCUAACCUUUUGGAAAUAGGGUUGUCAAUUACAUCACCCUGAUGGCGUCAUGUAGGAUGAUCUAUUCCUCCAUGUCAUGUGUCAGCGCGAUCAUCCAGUCUUGUGACCUCACCCCUGGUUACUUCCAGCCCUCAUCACCGGCCUGCAGUAGCAACUAAAAACACUUUUUUAAGGAAGUCAGCGCUGUCUGGUUUGAACUCUACCACAAUCCGCCCCAAACCCCUUAUUUAAAAAAAAACCUUGCCCUUUUUUUAUUAUUUCUAAAGACACUUGGCAAAACCUCCAACCACCCCCACCCACCCAUCACCCCCUCCCUCCCCAGCUGAGACCCACCCAGGCAGGGUAAACGCAGGGCAAGGCCUCCCUGCAGCUCCCUUUACCACCAUCUCUGGUCACCAGCAGGUCAGCCUCACCACCAGAGCCGGGUCAGGGCCUGUAAUGGUUCCAUCUCUGCCUGGAAAAACAGCCUGAGGCCUGGACACAGAGCCUGGGAAUCUGGCCUCCACCUGCUGCAGAGAGAAUGGAAAGAUUUGUGGGAAGAGAGAAAAAGAUUGAAGCUGACAUGUUAACAAGCCCCUUAAUCGAAUAUUUUGUGUUCAGGACUUUUUAUUAAAACAUGGUAUAAAAAGGAAAAUUGGGUGAGAUAAUUGCUCUCAGGUCCAAUACAAAUCUUGUUUUAAGAAUUAGUUACGAGGACAUGUGUUUGCCUUUAUUUGAUCCCUUUAUUGGGUUUAAUGGAAUUUCAGCUUUUGCAUUAUUUUUGGCAAUUAAGAUAUUUAAGCCAUGAACAGAUAUUUAUUUACACAUUGAAGGAAGGGUGUGUUUAUGUUUAAGAGAUAAAUGUCUUAAGAUGGAAAUUGGCACUAUGCUUCAACAGCUGAAUAAGACUGGGCUGAGCGGGUCUCUAUGAUAACAGCGCUGUGAACUCCAGCUGCAGCUUCUUGCCCACUAUGGAAAAUGGCAGUUUUCGGAUUCUUCUGGUUUGGUCCAUCAUGUGGCUUUUGGAAAGCAUCUCGUUAAAGACGUAGGUGGCUGGAAAAAAUGUGAACUUUGGGAGUUAUUAGGUAACUUUCUCCCCUCAGUAUCUGACGUCCUCUGGUGAUUCAGGGUGGGACUGGAAAGAUGAUCUGUCCUCACUGACUUAAAGAUUACAACCGAACAGAAACUGUGCAAUCAGAUAUUUGUAAAAACACAGGGGGGUUGAAAAAAUGUAGUUCCUUCUUAAAAAAGAACUCUUCUUCUUCUUCACACUGCCAUGGCGCUUUCUCCCAUUUUCAGUUUACGAGCUGGAUAAACCUGACCUUCAUGAACGUUCACCCUGAUUCCACUUCCCUGCACAAACAUGAAAACACAUUUCUCAAAUGCACUCUCUCUCUUUCAGUCUUAUCUUGACUGAAAAAAAAAAAAGCUCCGGUAAUCCCAGUUAGUUCAGAUUUCACUCAAAAGGUCACCUGAGAGUUCAGAAAUUCUCAGGUGCAGGUUGAGAGAAACCACUCUGGCUUUGCUCUUUGAGGACAUUCCUGUUUAAUUAAGGGUUAGCCAGGCUUGGUAUGUAGAGGAAUGACACAGAAGGGGCUGGAGGUAGAAUAUCUGUGAGGGCGUUUCCAUAAAAAGCUGGUAAAGAAAAGAAACAGAGAUUUCCUAAUCAGCUUUAUUUUUUCAUGAGUGUCAAAGGUCCUGUGAGGACCUUCAAACCAGGUUAUGAAACAGGUGGAAUUAAAUCUAGAUGUUUCUAUAUAAGCUGCAAAAAAAUCUAGACCAACAGGGAGAACUGAUUAUCCACUUAUGGUUAUUUUUAAUAUCUGGCUGAGUGUGUUUUGGGGGGCAGCCAGAGAGAGCAUUUAACAGCACAGUGAAGAAACAGGCUUCCCCACGAGAAAACCUUUAAUAAUCGUACAAACCUGACUUCAAAAAGGUUAAGAUGUUGCAGAUAUCCAUAUAGAAAUAUUGUAGUUUCAAAUAGUCUAAACCCUACAUUUGAUUAUAAACAGUGCAAGGAAAACAUUUAAAUACUGAAACUGAAAAUGUAGGUGUCAUCUAAAAGGGGCAGCAGUGUCCAUGAACUCCAAUGAGAGUGUCACAUUCAUUUUCGUGUAUGUGAGUGGUUUCAUCCUUGCAUGGUUCAGUUUAAACCAGCGUUUGAUGAACUGUAUUCUCACACAAUGAUUCAGGAGUUAUUUUGAAGACUAGGGCUAUGUUCACACUGCAGGUCAAUUCCGAUUUUUUAACCAUAUGUGACACAUAUCAGAUUUUAAGUGUGAAUAGUGCAAUGCCUCUUUUAUAUGUGGAUAUAAAUCGCUAUGUAUCCGAUGUGAUGGCAGUUUGGACGCUCAGGUCGCGUUCAUCCGACCUACACGUCAUCAAUAUGCAACAAACGUCACCAUUGUUCGACAACACAAACAGGCUUGGAAAGCAAUUUGUGCUUUGUGCGCAUGCGGGUCACAACACGCUGCAUUCGUUGUUGUAAUGUGAACGACCGCACAUAAAGAUCGGAUUUAACAAAAAAUCCAAAUUGUGCAUCAUAACCUGCAGUGUGAAUGUAGCCUAUAUGGUGAUUACCACUACAGAGUCAUGUCAGAUUUUGAUGCAGUGAUGCCUGACCCCAAAUUUCCACCGCAUCCGUAACGGCUCAGAGCCGGAAUGACGGGGAUUGUUUUAUUUUGAAAAGAAGCCAGAUGUUUUAUUUUGUGUGUGUGCCUGACUUCCUUUCCAGCACGGGUUAAUCAGCACGGUUAGAAUUCUCGCGUUCUGCUGCGGAGUCCGGUGAUCCGCAGCGGUUUGAACAGUUUGCUCACGCAGUCUCUCACAAAGUGCCGAACCUAUUUCUAUCAGUCCUUACAAGAGACUCGGCCUCUCUGAAUACCCUUUUGGUGCACAGUCAUGUUACCAACCUGCUGAAGAUCUUACUCCAGGUAUCUGUUUUAGCAUUGCACAACUUUUAGAGUAUUUUGUUGCAACUUUUUAAAAAGCUUUUACAGUUGUUAAAUUUAAAGUGUUUUUAACAGUUCAUAUACUGUCUUGGGACUUUUUUCAUUUGAUUUGAAGGAGUUGCAAACCAUCUAAAUCUGUUCUUGUCAAUAUUUCACGUCAUCCAACAUUUGUGGAGCAUUCCGGUUGUACAUUCAACUACAAAUCACAAGUUCCUCACUGGAGCUUUAAGUGCAUUUAAAUUACAUAUUGCCGCAAGACAGACGGUCUUAUUUAGUAAAAACAAAUAUAGCAAGACAGCUUUCUUUAAACAGCUCAGACAGAACGAAAUGUUAACUAUGUAGAGAAAAUGGUGGCUUAUAGUUGGUUAGGUUUGCAGCGACAGCUGACAGUACAUACAUAGGAGAUAAAUGCAAGUACAUACCCAAGGCCAUGCCUACAAAACACACCCUCAAAUUACUGUUUGGCUUAGAAAGCAGGAUGUAUCUAAGCCCACUCAAUCUGACCGUUGUCCGGGUGACGGCCAAUGGGAGCGGGAGGUUAAUUAGGGAGUCAGCGGCUGGUCUAGCCGAGUGCAACUGUCAGUCAUUCUCCUAGUUGGACAGAGAAGGGUAAAAGAAAAGAUGGAGGAAAAGAAGGAAGUAAAAGAAGCUGGAAAGCACCUGAAGUGUGAGUCAGGGGAGGAAGAGGAGGAGGAGGGUGCUGGGUGCAGCUGCAAAAACACAGUCUGGCAGUCCAAGGGGUAGCUGCUAGACCUGUGUACACACACUUAAUAUACAUGCUCGUCCAUAUGCUCUGAAAACAUUUCCUCAUUCGCCAAAACUGUCUUGUGUCGCCAUAGAAACCCAUAAAUCAGCAGCUGCAAGCACUUUCUCAUCGUGAUACGCUAAACAGGUUCAGAAAUAUAUAAAUGUGUCGCAUAUGCUCAGGCUAAGGUCAGCUAGUGCAGCUAGCCGCAGUCGCUGAUCCACACCCCCGCAUCUGGCAGCCGUGGAUCUGGCCUUGGCCCUCGCUUCACAGCCCUGUGGUGGUCUGCUGCGGGUCUGGGUUUCCCAAAAGCAUCUCGCCCUGAGCCGGUCUGAGUGUCUGCUGAAACAAAGCUGGACUCCUCACAGAGCAGCAGACCAGAGUCCAGAUUUACUGAUUGCUCUGCAGCAGCACUUAAACGCAGAGUAAACAGGACUGUGAAAUCUUGAGUGUUGUUUCACUCUGAGGUCACAGUAGCAGCAAACAUGGCAGGGCUGUAGACAGAGAGGUCCCAGUUCAAAGAAAGCUCCGGCUCAUUUUAUCAGACCUCGGUUUGUUGUAAAUACCCUCAGCUCUGCGCAGCUGCAGGUUGACUGUAACAUGUUUUUACUCUGCUGAGGAAAUGACAUCACCAGACUCUCCUCACUCUACCCCCCUUACACUUUACCUCUUAGGAGAGGUAAACUCUUCUGCAGAGGACCACAAAGGAAAACACACCGUUGAAAGCAUUUUUGAUUCCAACAAGUUUCAACACUGAUCCUGAAGCUAGAAAACAGUAAAGCUCACCGUGCAGGAUACCGAACUUCAUUUGCAGUGUUCCUACGCAAGUAUGGAAAAGUAUGAAAUAAAUUUGAUCAAAUUCCAGGUCUUAAAAAGUAUAGAAAAUGAAAAAUAAAGUAUGGAAAAAUAUUUAUGUUUCCAGACUAUCACCACAGUUCUAAAAUACUGUUUUUUAAAAUAGAAAUGUAGGUGUUUCUAAAAAUAAUUCUAAAAAGUAGGGUAUGAAAAAGAAUGGAAAUUCCAACCGUAUAGGAACCCUGAGUUUGUAGCGUCAUAAGAAACAAGUAGAUGCAGGAUUGGCUAGCGAAGAUUGUUUUUAUAUGAAUUGGUGAAUGGUGAACUUGAGAAUUAGUAGAAUGGUAAAUUGGCAAAGUUAAAAAUAAGCCCACCAUUUUUUGAUAAUGGUGUCCUUCAGGGUUCGAUAUUAGAGGAAUAUUCUGGUGUAAAAUUACUUUAAGGUCAAACAUACCGUAACACUGAUUUAGACACUUGUGAGAUAAAUGUUGCUGACCGCUUGCUUCUCUAGUUAUACCAACUUUAGUAACGACCGCAUGAUAGCAAUACACAGUGGUCUGAGGAGCCAUAAACAAACCUCAACCAAAACGCCACUCUAUAGCCACAAAUAAUUCUCAGAACAGCACUUAACUUCAUCAACAGUACAUAUAGGGUCCUAGCCACAGCAGUAUCCACCAAACAUCUUUUUAACUUUGCCUAAUUUCUUUCGCAAAGAGACCAAACACAACUCACCUACUUUCUUCAAGCAGCCGCUUGUUUGUAGCGAGACCUCAGGCCAGUCUAUUACGGACUACAGCGGGGUGACGCAGCUCAAGGAAGAACAUUUAUGAUUAUUUCUUUCAUCAGACAGAGACGCUAAGGCAGAAGAACUACCGCGUCUGCAGUGCAAAAUGAUUAAUAUGAUAAUUACUGCUUCAAGGAAAUGAUAAAUGAAUGAUCAUAAAUGUUCUUCCUUGAGCUGCGUCACCCCGCUGUACUGGGACUGGGCUGAGGUCUCGCUACAAACAAGCGGCUGCUGGAAGAGAGUAGGUGAGUUGUGUUUAGUCCCUUUGCAGUCCUACUCUUUGAAGUAUUGUUGAUACUGUCCUAUCGGUCGGCAACAUUCAUCUCUCGAGGGGGUGUCUAACUUGGUGUUACAGUGUGUUCUACCCUAAGUUAAUUUUACACUGGAAUAUCCCUUUAAGUCCUCUGCUUUUGACUCUGCAGUUUAAUAAUAAUGAAUUUCCAACUGUUUAAUUUAAUUUUACAAAAUAAUUAAAGCUUGAGUUAAUGUCUAAGCAGUGCUGAUCAUAAACUGCUGAAAGUGCCUACGUGUACCAGAAUGCAUUGUGCAAUAGCAACUAAAAUGAGUUUGAAAAACAGACAGGGAAAAAUAAAAAUUAGAGCCAUAAUUUUAAGGACUUAUUAAGUUACACUCAACUAAAUUGACUUUUCUUUGCAGCUGUUUUGACCUCAACCUUGUGUUUAUACUCUGCUGUGUGAUUUAUGUGUUUUUGUGAUUUUAUAGUAAACAGUUGCCACCUCAUGACUGAGUAGACAAGGAGAGGAAGGGUUGGGCUCAAAAAGGAGGAAGCAGAUAAAACAAAGAUGAAAGCAUUUCAAGGCGCAGGAGGGAAAACACUUUGGGGAGGUAUGUUUAUGAAUGCAGCUUAAGAUCAUAAUCGUGAAAACAUGAGCUCGCAGUGAGGUUCGAGACUCUGCUGCUGCGAGAGUGGAAAAAAAAAAAAGUUCUCCUGCUGUAGCAUUUCACUGUGUAAAUGUUCCUGUAUUUUCUGUGUGCUCAGCAGAUGUCUCACACUGAUGACACACACAGAUCUGUGCAUUAGCCCAUGAGCUGACCUCGGAUCAGUGUGGAGCGCUGACGUGGACAUACAGAAUAACAAGACAGAGUUUGAGAGUGGAUCAUUUGACACGUUUUGUUCCACAGCAGCUGGAAAGAGAAAAGAAAACAUUUAUCUGGUAAUGGUGUCACUAUAACACAAUAAUGUCUGUAUGUGGACUAGUAUACUGAACAAGUAUUCACUACAGGUUUUUGCGUAUGGCUCUAGGUGGCCCAAAACAGGUCACAGUGCUCAUGCUGGCUCCUGUUCACUGUUGAGGGCACUUGAGCUACACCGCAACCCAAUAUUAGAAGGUGGCCUUGAGAAACAUCAAGUCCAAGGUGUUGACUCAGCCCCUAAAAUUCCUCAGAUUUCUAUCAGAUCGAGCAUCUGCAGGGCUUGCAGGACAAACAAGCCUGAGCCAUAAAGGCCCCAACUCACAGCUUCUAGGACUUAUAGGAUCUACUGCUAAUGUCCUGCUGCCAGAUACCACAGAAUGCCUUCAGAGGUCCAGGGGGGUCCAUGUCUUGUCAGGUCAGGACUGGUCCACCUCUACACUAGUCUGCGCCCUUCUAUGCGUACACUAUUAAGGCAGCUAAUCAGCACAGAGCCUAAACUGAGAGGCUGCAGAUCAUCCUCAAAGUUGGAAUUUGUGAAGGGGAAUUUACGCAGGUUCCUCUGGAGGGGUUGCCGUAUUUGCUUUGGUGUUUUUCCGCCUCUACACCAGUCUGCAUCCUCCUCUGCGGACACUAUUCAGGCAGCCAAUCAGCACAGAGCCUCAAUAUCAUAGCAUCUCUGUCCACUCAGAUCACCCUGUGACUAAUGAGGUAUAAACUGAGAGGCUGCAGAUGAUAUGCUAAUGCAGGAUUAUUGAUGUUUAUUGAUGAAUCUUUACCCAUGACCAUGAGUUGAACGUGAAAGAUGUAGUUGAUAUCAUUGAAAGCGUGUUAUUGUCAUCAUGUCUCUUGUCUGUUCGGAUGUUAUAAAACAAGGACUUGUUGAUAGAUACUGAUGUCACUGUUAAUGACCAAACAUGAUCAUCUCUUAAUUAUCCUUUUUCAGAGCUUUAUGUUUUCAUUGACGGGUAAAUACUGUAUGUUGCAGUAGAAAACAUUAUGUUGACUUUUAUGGUCCCCUUCCUGUUGCAGGAAACGUAUCUGUAGAUUAACGUAGGUGUCAUUUGUUCCUGGAAGGAUUAUCGGCAUAGGCGCUAGUUUUCCACCCAUGCCUCAUUUAUCCAGCUCUUUUACCACUUUGUUCCUUCUCCCAGCAUGCCUCAGGCCAAAAAGCAAGGGAACCACCCUUUACAGGUUGCAGGUCUAUUUGCAGCACUUUGCGAGGAUAAAAAUACACUCCACCAAACAGACAACAAUGCCGUCCAUGUUAGCAGGCUAGCUUGUUAAUGACGCUGCAGUUUACGAGUGGUCUGUUUCUCACCGUGGAAACGUUUUGCAGCCACUCAGAGGCCAAACUGGCUCCUAUAAACAGGCUACUAAUUCAGAUUAUUUACAGGGGGUAUUAAAUCAUAAGAGGGCUCUUCCUGUGUGUAGAAAACACACCGUGUGUUUCAUUCUCUUGCUCCUUUCUGUCCCUUCUGCUCCCUUGGAUAUGUUGUAGGAUAAUGGGGACUGGAAAUCCAGUUCCUCUCAUAAAGCGUCUUAAUUGCUCCUCCUGGAACUUCCCCACAGUCCCUCCCCCCUUUUCAGACAACCGCACAAACACACUCAUGUUAAUCUGUCACUCCAACGAGCCAAAUGAAAACACCUUAAGGAUAAGUUUGUCGUAGCUGUUGGCGAGGACACUGGAAUCUUUGGAUUUUUACACAAACGCUGUUUCUAAUACCACGCAGCUCAUUCACAGGGGUGGGCCACGUCCUCAGGGCUUAAAAACAUGGAGAAUCAUCCCUCCAUAAAACUUACAAGACCCCAAAUACCAAUUAUUAGCUAUCAAGGUCCAAGAAGUGCACUGACUUGCCUCUGAAAUAUGCAAAAAUGACAUAAUAAGCCCUGCUUUGGCCAUGGUGAAGGAAAGUAAUUUACUAAAAUAAGACUCCUCAGUUCUGGUUGACAUGUCACAGUGAAAAGAGAAACUCAUUCUGCAGCCCUCUGGGGUUAAACUUGUCACCACUGCUGUAGUGAAGUGGCCGAAAAACAAGCCAGGCCCACAGAGACACCUUUAUGCUGCGCCAACAGCCGCUGGAACCCAAUGGAAGAUUUGGGGACUGUUGCAGCUGCCAUGAUACUUUAAAGCAAAAACGGGGGGGAAAAAGUUCCAUCGUGUGCAAGGAUGAGUUUGUUUAAGUUAGUUUGACAUUUGCAUGGAGAGCUUUGGGGUAACAGUUGCAGUUUGACGUCUAAGAGGUGGCCAGAGAUGGGGCGUAAACCGCUGCUGAAUAAAUCCAAAUCUAAAUUGAAUGAUGGUCAAAGCAAAACCUGUUUACCAAGUGUGUGUUAAUUCGUUUAAUACUGUGUAUUUUCUCUUCUAUUACAAGGGUCUUGUCAGGCUGGGGUUUUUAACAAUUUCUUAACAUUGAUUGGGAGUGAUUGGGAAUGGCUUCAAAGGCAACAAUGAGCUAAUGCUUUGAGGUAUAGCUGCAUUAACUUGUUAGCAGCAGUGGAUUGUGGGUAAUUUGUACAUGAGAUUCUGUCGACUCAGUCCAGGAUAUCUGGACAAUCUCACAGAGUAUGGGUGGGGUUGACGUCAUUAAUGGCAGCAAUUACUCUUUAAAUGUUUUUUUCUUCUUCGUGACAUCCAUCGUCAUAAUGGGAAUUUUACUCAUCGGUGGCUCAAAAUCACUGCUUUUUGACAGUCACAGGGAACCGGCUACAUUCUUUUGGGAAACAUGAGUGUGAAAGGGUUAGAAAAGUUAACAAACAGGGCCACAGCCCACACCAGACAAGAGGAGCUGAAAUGACGGACCACACAGUUAGCGCCCCCGAGAACCUGGGCUACAAGAUCUAUUAACACAACAAACCGCCGGGUGUAAUUUCCCCACAGAUGAGCCAGCUUCUCACUGCCAGGGAAUGUAGCGAGGAUGUCAGAAAUAAACCUCAGAAAUGCUCCGAGCCUGUAGUGCAGGUGGAGGUUUAAUAGCAUCAGUUCUUUUGUGCAGCAGAAGCUUCAAAAAGAAGUCUGUGCUUUUAAUUUGAAGGGUUGAUUUGAUUAAACCAAACAAGGUUCCCAGUUUGGAAAACAGUCCCUGACCUGGAAAACAAAUCAGACAUUUCUGAAUUUAGCCUGUAUUUUAGACAUCUACAAGAUCAUCCAAUUUUAGUUGACACUGUUGUAAAUAUUGUGAAUUUCAUGACAAAGGGAUGUGGCUCAAACAUGCUGUGCAAACUGCACGACUGAGGUUUGAACUAAACUUUGAAUGUACAUUAAGGCAUGCAAAUAUGGUAAAUCUGCUUGUGCACAAGAGCUAGUGUUUCAUAAGUAUUGUUUAACAAGUUAGCAUCUUUAUUUUUGCAUAUUAGCAAGCUAGCAUGCCAAUAGUGUGCUAUGCAGUGGUAAAAGUAACUCACAAAAGACAGAGAGCUUGAUGCUGUGAUGUAGUAAAGCGGCAAAUAACAGUAUCAUCUGCAUAAAGAUGAAAAUAAGCAUCCGGAAACUUGUGUUUGAUACUGUUUAUAAACCAGUAAAUUUUUAACAACCGUGGUACCAACAGUUGGUCUAUAUGUCACAACUGGUGAAGAGUAUCGAAAGCCUUUGACGCGUCAGUAGCGGGUCAUUUACGGGAUAUUUAAAAGUCUUCGAUCAGAUCAAAAGUUUGGCCAAUGAAGGUGUUUCAAUUCUUUUCCAAAAGGCUUCUUCGAAUCUGAUCAAAAGUUCUGGUUUUGGUCGCUUACCAGUCAGAGCUUGGUUUUGUGUUUCGUUGUCUAAACAUCAGUUUUCAAUCUUGGUUUGAAUGAAUGAUAAAAUACCAUCACCAACCUUGCCAGUCAUUACUGUUUAUUUGUAAUGUUAAGAUUUUAAAAUUCUGGAAGUCUGGAUAAAAUGGCACAUAGCCUGUCUUCUUUGUCUUCUUUGAAAACCUUGGAGAGGCAUUAGCUCUUAUCCCCCCUCUGUGUUCGGUGCUCUUGAGCCAAAAUAACAAAAAUAAAUGAUAGGAAUAUCAGCAGGAGUGGCUUUCAAAGGGUGUUAAAGAUUUUUCAUCCUUGUGGAAUAUUUGUGUUAGCACAGCUGUAGGUCUCAUGUACUAACAUUUAGGGGACUGGAACUGCAGACAUCUUGCAUUUGAUGGUGCAAAGUCAUUUUGUGUAACGGUUGUUUAUUUCUUCAACCGUUUGUAACCAGUCAGACCUACAGGGCAGUAAGACGAUGAAGAAUUCAGCUCUCAACAGGCCUUAGGCAACCCUUUUCUCCUGCCAUGUGGUGGUUCGGAGGCUCAUUCAGAGCACAUGCAACAGUUUUGUUUGGGUAACAUUACUGUUCCCUCUAUGGCAGAGCCAGUCUGUCUUCUAUUAAGCUCUACAGUGACCUCUGACCACAUGUAGUCUGAGAUAUGAAUCAUAAGCACAUGGUUUGUAUAUAGUUUCCUCUGCUAUCGUAUGUACAUCAUGUAUGGUUACAGGGGUUGGUGGAGUAUUCCUUAAGCAGAGUCCUGGGGGAGAGGUUUAAGUUUUCAUAGUUGUACACCAGGAUAAGUUAGAAAGCUGACUGAUGGGUGUAUUUGUGUAUUACAUUAUGAGUUUUUCGGCAUCUAUCCAGUCUGGAGACACCCUGAAGGCAUUGUUCCAUAUAGUUCCUAGAAAGGAGAAUGUGGAACAAAUGGAAAAAACAUGAGCUCAGUGCGUUCGCUGUAACGUCAGUUUAUGGAGGUACUAAAAAAGACAAUAAAAUAGAAAAGACGGGAACAGAAAAUGGCAAGAGGGAUAUGGAUAUGGUUUUAGGGAUAUGCAUCAAAUGUGAAAUCUGAAAUGUUCCUCACAAAUACAGCUCAGUUUCCAAAAGAGUUAGAAUGCUCUGCAGUAGGAAAAACAGGUUUGAUUGUUUAAUGGUUCAUUUACUUUAAUUGUGACCACAAACUGCAAUUCUCAAAGACAAAUCUAAAAGUAUGAGAAUCAAGUGUUAAUAACUUUUUAAGUCUGAGCUCAGACUUAAAAAGUUUCAGUCUCGACCCAUUUAACUGGUGUCAGGACAUAAAGUAAAACCUUGAAAGCCUUCACACCUCAGACUUUUUCCACAUCACCUUGGUAUUUCAGCGCCGCCUUUGAGCUGGGUGUUUCAAAGUCAUGCUGCAGGACUGAGGUCAUCCAUCCUGAAGUUAGUACUCGUACUGCGGCGGGACAAACUCCUUACAUAUGUGGGCCACAAGAUUAAUGCUGCGUCCACAGCGUGUGGGCGUCCCAGGAGAUAUGCAAACUCAAGGUCGAUAUUUUUCCCUCACUUGAUGUCAGACUCACAUACAACCCAUGCAUACAAUUCACAUAUCAUUAUGUAAAUGUGUUAUGAAUGACAGGUGGAGGGAGAAAAGAGAGGCAUACAGGUAGAUCUGCUAAGAGUUUCUGGAAACUGUUGACACUUUUGGCCACCAAAAAGUUAUUUUAUUAAUUCAAUAUAUUUCCACAACCACUAUCAAAUACAGAAAAAACAGAAAGUAUCAUCUUAGUAGCCUCAGAGACUAAUAUAAACUUCAGGACAUGAAAUAAAAGUUUUAAUAUGUGUUGUUUGAUGUUGUCAUGGGUAAGUGCAGUUGAAUUUGUACAGCAUUGUAUCAAAUACCCCCAUUGACUUGUAGAGUAUCAUUUCUUAUUGUAUCAUACUGUAUCAUAUCAUACAGUAUGUAAUAAUAUUGUAAUGGACAGUAUUGUAUGGUAUCAUAUCAUGUGUAUUAUAUCAUAUUUCAUCAUAUCAGCUCCCAUCAUAUUGCAUCCCAGCUUAGCACAUCAUACUGUAUCAUAACCGAGUCUAUCAUAUGAUAUUGUACCAUAUCAUAUCGCAAUAUAUAAUAUAAUAUAUCUUAUCAUGUCCCAUGGUAUCAUAUGAUAUUGUACUGUAUUGUGUUGCAUCAUACCAUAUCACAUUUGGUAUUGCAACAUAUCAUGUAACAGUGUAUCCUAUCAUAUCAUAUUUUAUCAUACCAUAUCAUGGAUCAUAUCAUGGAUCAUAUCAUAUCAUAUCAUAUCAUGUUGUAUCCUAUUGUAUCAUAUCUCAUUAUAUCCUAUAACGUCAUAUUACAUAGUAACUUACCGUAUUGUGUAUUUUUACUAUAUUUCAGCAAAUCAUAUCGUAAACCUUUGGCAUAAUAUAGUACCGUAUCAAUCAUGUCACAUCAUAUAACAUCCUAUCAUAUUGUAUUGUUUUGUAUUGUGUUGUGCCAGACUAUAUCAUAUUUUUUUGUAUUAUAUCAAAUGUUUUAUAUUUUUAAGGCACUAAUGAGUGUAGAAAAGUCUUUGUUGGUUGAUGAUGACAGGAACUACAAAUGACAGAUUAAUCUUAAUCAAAUUCAUUUUUCUCUUUGCAAUUAAAAGUACAUUUAUUAUUAUUUGGUAGGUCUUUUGAUACCAUGAGGAAAACUCCAGGUCUUGAGCUACACUGUUCUGAUGUAAACCUUAAAAACUGUCCGAAUAACUGUGUUUGUAGUUGUACCUAAAAGAGUCCACACUGAGGUUUACGACAUGUGACAGCAGACUGUGACCGAUCACUCUGCUUUGUUCCUGUUUGCUUCCUGCUGUUAAAAACCCCCUCCGUGUGAACAAACGUCCUAUACUCUAAAAAGAAACCUGCGUCAUGUGACCGCCGGGAUGAAGGCCAGCCAAACAGUAAAGAUCAAGGUCAGAUGUCAAAGUCAGGGUUAAAGUCAAGAUCAGACAGCGAGCUGUUUGUAGGCUGAGGUUAAGUAACGUUUUCUUUCAUUUUAAGUCGAGUUUGACCUCAGAGCGUGGCUCUCAAAUGUGGAUUUAACCCCAGGACCAGUUCAAAAGAAAUUUGAUCAGGUUUCAGCUGUUGGAUUAUUUCAAAUGUGAAAAAAAGAGUGUUUGUGCUUUUCUAUGUUUUGCUUUUCUUACAAAAUCAGAGAGAGAGAGAGCACAGAAUGUGCAGAAAGUUGUGUAACCGAAUCCUCCUCGUGUUUUAACAUUAAUUGCUUCCUUUGUGCAUUCGGCGUCACUCAGCCAUCAGGGUCUAAUGGGAUAAACAUCUCUGGUCUGGUUUUCAGUUUUAAACACCUGCUGAUUCUGGCUUUCAUCCUGAGGGAGGCUGCCCAUUAGAACAGAUUAGAUUACAUACACUCACACACACUCAUGCAUGCCCUCACACUUGCUUAAAUCAGUCAUCGGUCACUUUCAAUGGGAGAAACUUUUCAGGGCCAAAUGUUUGAAACACAUAAUAUUAGUGAAAACAUGACGUUAUGCUGAAUUACUCUGAAAUUGAGUCAUUUUUUAACCACAAUGAACCCAACUGGACCAUCAAAUAGGGAGCGGGUAUCAGAGCGCACGUGUAAAUGGACUUUAUCUUAACAUUCAAACGUGAUGGUUCAUGUUUGCUGAGUCAGCAGCAACAAAUGCUGUAGUCAGGACCUCAUUUAUCAAACAGAUUUAAUAUUUGCAUGAAGGGAGAGCAUCAGCAAAGAUCUGUCAUAUGUUCUGUAAAUUUAGUUUUCUUCUGGUUUUAUUUGAGUGCAUUUUGUGUAUUUUCAUGAGUGUUCCUGUUCCCCAGCAGUCCAGUCUUGUGAGUUUUCAGUUUAUGUUUGACCCUGUUUCCCUCCUGUUCUCUGUGUUUUAUUCUUUAUAUCAGUUUUCAGUGUUUUCUGUUUUAUUUUGUAGUAGAAUCCUUGUGUUUCUCACCCUCCUCGUUAGUCACCCAUGAGUUUCACCUGUGUCUCGUUUGCCACACCUGUUGCUCGUUAACCAGUGUGAAUAUAGUCCCUGUCUUCCCCUCUGUCCUGAUUGGUCCAUUGUAUGUCGAUGUGUGUGCGUAUGCUUGUGUCCCCAGUUGUUCCUUGGGAUUUUUUCCCCAAUGUCUUUAGUUGGAUUUUGCCUUUUUAAUUUUUUUGGUUAGAAAAGUUUUUGCUGUUUUUUAUAAAGUUCUUUUUUUAAAUAAAUCUUUUGGUCCUUUCCCUCUUGUUUAACUCUGUCUCACGACAAGAUCCCCAAGUAGGUAUCAGUGUCAAUACAAAUAACUUUGAUAAGAUCAAAAAUGGCCCGUUUUCUGAGACCUCCCUGACCCACCACAUGCAUACACCCGUUGUGUGAACUACCUCUUCACCCACUGACUACACUGUCUCUGUCCUUUAACAGGCAACGAUCAAUUAGGGUCAUUUCCUGUGCUGAGUGGACAUCCUGUCUCACAGGAAGGGGAUUAAGAGGGUUUGGAGGGCACCAGGGACUCAGUGGCCAAAAGUAUAACACCCCUGGACACCCUUACACCCCCCUCCCCCAUGCCGGCCCCUCAUGUCAGGAAAUCCCUACAUGCCUACGAAACACUGCAGUAUAUGUGAGAGUUUAAUGUAAACCCCAGACACCUGAGAGCAAUGAGGAAACAUCAAGAUUGUUCUGCUUGAUAUUAACAAUCAAGAGUCAGAGCGAGCAUUAGCCAUUCCCCUGCUAACUCUUCAUAAAAACAGGGUGAGGGAAUGGAAACAGCAGGUUAGAGUGUGGCCUUUAGCAUGUGAGCAUAUGAGGCGCAAAGCAGUAUGCCAGGAUGCCAAAUAUCCCCUCCAGUCAAAUUCAGCAAUAUUUUGACUUGGUAUGCAUAUUUACCUAGUUGUCUUUUUUAAUAUAACAUAACAUAGCUGAAGGAGUCAUCAGUAUUUGCUCCCAUUUAUGUACUUAUUGUUAUUUUCAUGAUAAGUCCAGUCACGGCAGACGCAAACAUCUGCUUCGACAAACGGUUCAGGUCAGGCCGUGGAAACUUAUGUAACGGCGAGUGGAUUUACGCACUUUCCGAAAUAUUUCACAAGCUUUCACAGAGGUUAAAGGACGAGCCGCUUUCAGGGGGGAAAAAGUGAAAGGCGGUUACAGUGGGGCGAUUCACGUGAAGCCAAAUCGGCGGUUUUUUCAUGUGCAGAUUUGUGGAGUUGAGAAUGAGGGUUUGGCACAAGUGAAUGUGAAGUUUAUUACUGUCUACGGGAUUGAAGUGGAAUUAUCCUGAUGAACUUAAACCAUCCUUUUCCUGCAGACGUCUUACGGCAAAUAUGUGCGGUAGAGCUUUUGAGUUACAUUUCAGACAUGCGUAAUUCAUUUAAUGCACCUUACUGUAAAAUCUGAAUAUACCUGAAUUUGGCACUUGCCAAAUUUGCGGCACCUGCCUGCAUGCUAGUUAGCAUUUUAAAGACUUAUAGGACCCUUUUUCAUCACUCUAUCGAUUGUUUUUCACAUUAUUUGUAAUGUAACAACAUUUUCAGAUCAGUAAACGUGCUAAUAAGAGUCUGACCAACAGAGAUUGUUCAGUUCCAGACUGGGACUCCAAGAUGAGCAAAGUUUUUCCAACUUUUCUCCGACUUUUCAGGAUUUCCUCCCAUCCUGCAGACAGAAAUCUACCCUUUAAUCCACCAGCAAAUUCUCUAAACACAUCACAACAUAUUUGAGUCACUUAUUCCAACAAGAAGACACUCCGUUUGCAUUUUUUUUUGCUCCCCUCAGUGUGGGAGCAGCUAAUGAAGACACUGACAGUUAGUCCUACGCAGCGGGAGUCGAGUGAGUCAGCCGCCUGCUGAUUAAGGGAUCCGCUAGCAGAGGAGCCAUCAAUCAAACGCAGGAUCACUCCUACUCUUGUGGCCCUUCUGUCGUGUUUAUCCAGCUGCUGGCUCGCUGCCGUGGACAGAGACCCCUGCUCCUGUCCUGGAUAUCUAACGGAGGCACACCAGGAGCGAAAGAAACAGCAUGAAAUCCAAUCUGCACACUGUUAUAUUGCCAAUUUAAGCUCAGUUUAUAGUCAUAUGUUUAAAGAAUUACAGCUAAAGACUGUGUCACAACCUUGACUCCAUUCCAGACGUGCCAAAUAAACAAAUCGCACAUGUGUAUAUACAGCAAUAAGCUCCUGAGAUGUUUCUGUGCAGUGCAGCCAGCGAGGAAAAAAACAUACAGCGAGGGAGCGCUGGGAAAACUGGAGCGAGAACAGGGUGGAUUCUCAACUCACCCACGUUGAUGGGGAUUUGCAGCUCAGCACCUAGCAGUGAAGACAUAUGGCUGAGCGGUUUGGAGAUAUGUCGGAAGCAAUGGAGACAGAAACGAAAAGAGGAAAGAGUGAAAAAGGGGAUCAGCUCUGAUGAAAGAAACAGAAAACAGAAAUUAGUGUCUUUUCCUUGGCUUUUCUUCGACGAGGUGCGAGUGAAGCUUUGCUGAGUGAGUUGUAUCUAAGAGAGGAUGUGAAAACACCAACGUGAAGUACCAUGAGUUGAGGUUAAGUGAUCCGAAGAGCUGGGAGAGACCAUGGUUCCUUGCAUCCCUCUGGGAGUCUAGAGAAAGUUAAGUCAGAGAGCAGCUGCAGUAGUCGGGACACAAAGCCAGCUACUCCCAUGGAAUCCCCCAAACUCCUCCAACUCCGACUAAGCACUCUGUGUUCACCGGGGAGUCCAUAAAACUGGGCAAGGAAUGCACAAAGUUUAAUUGAAGUCACUUAAAACCCUUAAAAACAACAUCCUCCUGCUGAUGUGUCAAUCAAUAAUCAAGGUCUCUGGAUUGUAGAGACGUCAGAGGGAGUUAGGAGAGAAAACACACCCAAUAGUUAGGAACAAAAACAGUUUAAAGAAAGCCCAGUAGACAGCUGAGCAAUCUUGUAUUCCCAACAUGACUGAAGAGAUCAGCGUUAGUCUUCUAGUUGUGUAAUAAAGAGAGUCGGUGAUGUACAAGUUAUGAAAUGUCUGACAUGUUGGGGUUAAACUGGGCUGUAAGGAGUUUGUGCAUGGGUCUAGUACUGAGUGAUGACUCUGCAUUUGGCUUUUGGGUUCACUGUAAAAAAGGCUAAAGCCGCAGAGGCACCAGUUCACAUUGCAUCAAACUUUUGGGGGUAAAAUAGGGCAAACUAAACAUAAUCUUCCCUGAGAUUUUUAAUGCCCAAUAGAAACUCAUCCAGGGUUACAUAACAUGUUUUUGCUGUAAGAGGCCAAAUCUUGCAGACUUGAUUCAUAUACCGCCAGUUUAAUGAGCGAAUAUGUUUUGAAUUAAGACUAUAAUAUUAUCAACAUUAGGCGAAACAUCUACAAAAUCUUCAUUUAUGUGUUUCAUUAUGUUCCCCCCUGGCAACCAAAGCAAAUGUAACAGCUCAGAGGGCUUAAAGAGAGGGUGAAUGUGCAACAGUUCCCAAGCUUAACAUGUCGAAGAGUUUGAACCAGGAAUUAUUCAACCAUCAAAAUUUGGACAUUUGUCAACAUGUCUUGAAAAUUCUGGGAUUAUUCUUUUUCUUGUUAAGAAUCAGAUAAGACGCAGAGAAGCAUAUUCCGAUCUGAUCUGAAGCUGUUGCCAGUUGCUAAUUAGCUUUGUGUUAAUUUCAUGUUUGGCUCAAUCCAACAAUUACAAGAUUCCAAUCUCAAGUUUCAAUUAACAUCAACACGUAAACAAUUACAAGUUCAAGGAAAGCUCAAGAAGAUUUUGGAAAAUGGGCCCAUUUUUGCCAAGAGCGUUUGAGGUCAGGCCCUUAAUUUGGACAAGCCGGGAGCACAGUCAGCAUCUAAAGGGCUCUGAAGCUGCUUGAGGUUUUUUCAGGCCAACAGUGUUCAUACACCCUAAGCAGAGUUGACCAAAACUGUUGCCAUCCAUUCAAGAAGGCUUGGCGCCCAGUCCCUGUUGUAAUUCUUUCUGAUGGUGCUGUCGGUUCAGGUCAGGGUGCUGUGUAGGCCAACGGAGUCUUUCUUCACCAAAUGCAGCCAUGCCUUCUUAAAAACUGUGGCUACUAAGCUGGAAGUGCCCAAGCAGCUGGAGUGUCCUUGAUUCUUUUGGCUAAGGUGGUCCCUUUUUCAGGGCUUCAAGGUCUUGCCAAAAUCCUUGGAAGGAUUUGUCAUCCACAAAACCAAAAGCGCUGUUACAGAGUCAACUUUGGCAUUGCACAUUGCCUGUGUGCACCAGCUUCACCAAGGGAACCAACUAUGUCAAGCUCCAGAUGCAAAGGUCAUGCACAGGCACUGAUUUUCAGACUUGGUCAUGUGCAGUACAGUGGAAUCUUCAUGCCCAUGUUCCCCCUGCUUUGCAAGUUGGUAGCUGAGUUGUUGCAGCUCCUCCACUAUACAAGAGCAUACAGUUGACUGAGACAGAUGGCUGGUCACUUGAUUUUUUCACCAAAACAUCUGCUCCAAGUCUUGUUGAUGAAAAGGCGUACCCAAACACACCAACACAAACAGGUCCACCAAGACAAAAGCAGUGUCAGCGACUUCUCCGUCUGAACCUUUGUUGUGUCUUCAAACCACCCCAACUGUGAAGAGCUGUUCCCAGCAGCCAUCAGUUGGACUCAUGAGACGUAUUCUCAAGUCCCAAACCGCCCUGAAUACACACACACGGACGAGUUAACACACAUUUUUGCACUUGAACACACACUUUUCCCAGCCGUUACUGGGAAUGCACCAUUCGCCUGACAUCACUCAUGUUACACAUUGAGACAGACAGCUAGUCCCACAGGAUUAGUCUGGUGUUUUACACACACACACAUUUACAUCAUCUGGUGCCAGCCAUGGCCACAGUAUAUAAACUGUACGUCUGUAGGCCUGUUCAUGAGUGUAAUACAUUUUUAUGCUCAUUCAUGUUGGUUUUUCUCAUCAGGGAGAAGGUCAGAGAGGCCACCUGUGAGUUUCUGCUCCUGUGAGUCAGAAGCAGGAGAACUGAAAAUACCUCGCUGUGUGUCCCAAAAGCUUUAUGGAAAAGUACUGACGAAGAGCCAAAAACUGCCGGGUUCAUAUGCUCUUGGUUGGGGUAUACCUUGGAAAAAGAAAACAGGGAAAAUCAACAGAAACAUCUUGAUUUUUCAUACUUCAAUCUGUCUUAACUGGCCUGCGCACGUCAGACUGAAGAAUAUUGAGCAUCAUGUAUGGCACAGUUUACAGAAAGUGUUCGGGAAGCAACUGGCUGUGUUUGGAUGGGCUGUACUCUCUACCUUCACCUUCUUCUGACAAUCAUCAGGGACAGAUAGAGAGAAAAAGAAGUGAGAGACAGAGGUUAGGAGAGGCUGAGCCUGGGCUCAAGUUUAGAAAGGAAACAAGAAUAUAACUACAGUGAACAGUCUGGCUGCAGACCUCCACUGUCAGGACCAUUCGUUUCAGACCUCUGCUCCACUGACCUUACCAGAAGUUGAUUUGAAGCCUUUCAAAAUAAAAGCAAAUAUACCAGGGGUACCUAUUUUGUUCACAUCACAGUUGAUUUGAAGCCUUUAAAAAUAAAAACAAACAUACCAGGUGGAUUUUUUUUUCACUUCAGAAGCUGAUUUGAAGCCUUUCAAAAUAAAAGCAAAUAUACAAGGCGUAUGUUUUUUUUUUUUUUACAUCACAGUUGAUUUGAAGUCUUUUAAAAUCAAAGUAAAUAUACAAGGAGUACGUAUUUUUUUUUACAUCGGAGGUUAAUUUAAAGCCUUUCAAAACAAAAGCAAAUUAACAGGCCUUUUUUUUUUUUUUUUUACAUUGGACGUUGAUUACAAGCCUUUCAAAUUAAAAGCUAUUAGAUCGGGAAGUUUGUAUUUUUGGUCACGUGUGAGUAUGUUUUAUUUCUUUGGGCUUUCUUUUAUGCAUAUCAUGUUAAUAUGAUUUUUUUGUGUGUGUGUAUUCGUUUGUUUAACAAAGACAAAAUACAAAACGGGAUGGCCACUUCAAACAAACUGGAGCACCUGAGAAAAAAACACAACCCUGGGUCCUCACAGUGGAGGUUUGCAGCCAGACCCCUUUCUCAGGUUUUUAAUCUUGAGGGGGACUCUUGUCCUCUCUCGAGUUUGGUCUGAACACAUCAUUCUUACACCAUAAGAAGAGUUUAUGUUCACAGCUCUAUUAGUCCUAAAGUAUGUAAUGACAUAUAAUGGAUUAGUCACGAGUUUCACGCAUCACUUCUGCCGUCAUCUCUCUCUCUAAUGCGUGUUAAUUAGAAGUUUCUUUCUGCGUCCAUCUCUGUUUUUCUAACAUACCUGUGGGUGUGUCAGUCUCUAUCUUCCUCCUCAUUCAGACACCGCCUGAGAUUCCUCCCUGUCUGUCAGCGAGGCCCAAUUAAUUGUUACGACUCCGGCUCCUAUACACACACUCUUUCUCACACAUAAAAACCUCCUCUGUCAGCACCUUUGAUGAAGCUUUCCAUGUUUUUGUUCAGACGUAGAUUUAACAUUCCUCGAAGAGCAUCCAACUCAAACAUGAACCUCAACAGAUCUCUUCUUGUAAACAGGAACCGAGUUCGAGGUCAAACACUGGUACACUAAAAUCAGUUUAGAUGGAGAUUACGAUAGUAAUGACACGUUCAAUCUAUUUUUUUCUACAUUUACGAGAAACAAACCAAGGGAAAUUUUUGAACCCAGCGUGAAGUUGAUGCUUUUAUUUAGAGGGACUUUUUCAGUUCAAUCUCAGUUCAAAAAGUGGGGGUUUUGUUUAACUUCUCCUUUUUGUUUUAUGUCUCGUUUUUUUCUUCUGCAGUCUGAUCCAAACCAAAACAAAGCGCAGAGCCAGACAGACAUUGAGCGAGGUCAGUUCACUCAGCCUGAAGAGACGCAGGCGUAAAACCGAAUAUCUCCCUGAAGCAGGAGAUCUCUGCAGGAGGUGCAGCAUGGAAAGAGUUUUUGAGGACUUUUUACCAGGACUCAGUAAAAGCAGAAGUACUGCACUUUAAAAACACUUGACUAGACGUUAAAUGCUAAGACUUUAAAACCGUGUAGAUGCACGAAAGUCACUGAAUUAUAUCCAAAUGAGCACAAAAUCAAACAUGGGAAAGCAAAGGUAGGUUUUCAGGGUUAUUGGUGACUAAAUAUACAACUUUAUCCUUGUAAAAUGUCAACUUUUUGCCCUAAAAAUGACUUUAUUCAAGUAACAAAUUGACUUUUGUUCUUGCAAUAUUACAACUGCAAUCUUCACGACAUUACAGAUUGUUUUUGUACACCAUGGUGAGGCAGUGAAGUGGGGUUAAAUGGAAACAAAAUGAAAUGACAACUUUGAAUACCUCGGUGUGAGACGUUGACAGAUGAUUGAUGGAAAAUAAAGGCAGAGAAAUAAGAGGAGAAGACAGGAAAAGAUACACAGACACGGGUGCCUGACCUCUUUUUUUUAUUGGCUCUAUUUUCUCCCUCUAAUCUGUUCUCCAGACCUGACACACACACUCAAACACACAAAGAAAGAAGACAAAAACACAGACUAGAGGGAGAUAAAGCCCCUGACUGAAAUCUGAGCUCGCUGCACACGCUGGAUGAGUUACCAUACAGUUUGAUAACUGGGACUCAUGUUUGAGGGAGGAAAAUAAACUGGUCUGGCUCCAAAUUACAUGUACAAUAAGCAUCUGUCUAAUAGCAUUAGCGGUGAAUAGCAUUAAAGGAGUAUUACACACAGCUGUAGAGAGUUCCUGUAACUAUUAAUUGUUUGGAAAUAAAUGCAAGAUUUUAGCUGAACGCUUUCUGUAGAUUUAUUUAGCUCAACGAAGAGUUUUCCAGGAACCAACACCAAUUAUUUAGCAUAAAGUCACGUUUCCACAUAACACAGGAACUUUUAACCCCAGUAAGUACUUUAGAGAUUAGGCAGGUUAGCUGGAUUGUGAACACCCUAUUACCACUUUGCUGAGCGUUCAACAGGUCCUGGACUUUGUCUUUUUUCACCCAUAUUGGUUUAAACUUUAAUGAAAAUCAACAAUUUAAGGCUGCAGACUUUUCAAACUGGAGACGAAACAGUGGCCCCUUAAAGUGCAGACUUUGAAAGGGUUUAGAUUUUUAGUCUUCAUUCAGACCCUGGAUGGUGUCAAGAAGCCAUCUCUUCCCAAUGGCCAAAAACCCAAUGGCGAGGAAAAGCAACCAGAAACUGGCGACUCCUCCUGAACCAUGGACGUGUUCCCAAGGGCAAUGCUCUAACCACGGUCUCCGCAGCACUAUUAAAACGACAAACAGGUCGAAAUCCAAAGGGAUAACGCCUCUGAGCCGCACACUGGGCCGACCGCACUUACUUUACAUUGUUACCAAUUUUACACCCACACCCAAACAAAACCUCUCCUUCUAGCCAACGAAACAAAUGAUUUAUAGAAACAAAUACCCAAAAUACAUACCACCUUUGCAUCUCCCAAUUCCUGCUGCCGAGCACAAAGACAAUACGCGCGGUCAGCCGGAAAAGCCACUACAAGCUAGUGACGUCACUCACGACGCCACCUUCCGUUCACAAAAUCAGGCCCACUAAUACUACUACUACUUAGCCUACCAUUCUCUCGAAACAUCAGGACGGACGAGCCCCCACUUUUGUCACAACCUGGCUCUUCAGCAGCGACAAAGACAAUGGGAGAUGCACUAGUGGGAAAUAGCAAAACAGCAACUUAGGUGUGUGGUAAGGUGUUGGGAGAGAGAACUGGUGGAGAAGUCAGGAUAUUUAAAAAUUGGGAGACACCGGGCCCAGGUGCUGCCAACCUCACACCAGGGAACUGUCACACUGGUGUUCAAGGUUUGGUUACAAUUCUAACAGUAGAAUCUCAUUUAUGUUUGCAAACUAAAAUCAGCUAUUCUCCAACCACUCCAAAAUAAAUCUGCAUAAUAUUUUAUCCAAGAAAUUGGUGUACUUCAUGUGCAUUUGUUUUGAUUUUGCAUGUCUGGAAUGUCAGCUCUGCUCGUGUGAUCUUGCUUGGCAAAGGCAGGGCUCUGUCCUGCUUCAAACAUGCAGCUUGAUUUUUGGCGUGCAUUUGGACCAAUCAGAGAUGUCAGAAUCUCUUUGAGUGUCUUGUGAACAGAAGUCUCGCUUUGUUCUGAGCGUUGCAGUCCGUAUAGUUGUCGAAUCGUAAACUUUGUUGGCAUUUCCUGAAUCCUCUCAUUUAUCUGAAUUCACGAAGAGAAACUGUAACAGAUCAUUACCAGCAAACCAUGUGGCCACACUCUCCGUCAUUUUGUCGAUAAAUGCCGACCAGUGUAUAUCUCCUUACUUAAGCACAGUCAGUCCUGUGAAGUUUUACCAGUGUCAGCCACAGCUAACCUCUCACCCUCAACAAUGUGCUGGGACACUCCCUGCCUGAGUAGAUUUCCUGCUGCUCGGUAAAAUUAACAGCAAAGUGGCGAUGGAAAAGUGCAGGUCAAAAGGAUAGAAGUUCGAAAAAAAAGUAGCAAAGAGAAAAAAAGAGAGGGAGGGAAAGUAGGUGAGGGAGGGCGGCGGUGGAGCUAGUCAGCAGCUUUGCCCUCUUUUGUUCACCUUACACACACUCCGUUGGAGAAUAUGGGUCACAAAAACACAUUCCAGCCUCUGAACAUUCAUACGAUCCCUGUGGAAGCAGAGGAGAAGGGGGUGAGAGAGCAUUUUAGACCAGAAAAGGCAUAAAAAUUAAGAAGGAGGAGGAAAGAAGAGACACCCAGAGGUCAAAUAUAAAGGCAGGAGAUGUAGAGGAAGUGUAACCCUCAGAUAGAUAAUACCUGACUCCCACAGAGCGUCAGGGUCUGUACCAGGAGAGAAAGGGGGACCUGCUGUUUUAAAGGGGGUCACCCUGGUUCACGGUGUAUCACUCCAGAACAUCAACAGGUGAUAGAUCAGUUUCCUCGUGACUCCAUCUAAACCCAUGAUGAGCUGCAAAUUUCACAACACCCCUUCAAUCCUGAAGUCUGGAUUCAGCAGCGUCUGGAGACUUCUUCAGUGUUUGUGGGGUUGCUGCUUUCACAACCUUAUCAAUCAAACACAAAACUAACCAGCAUGGUUUCCAAUGAGUGGUUAUUUGAUCCUCAAGCAUGUCCUGUUUUCGAACAGAAACUUUACAUGCCAGUGUCCUUACAUCCACUCAUGUGCUGUGUUCCAGUUGUUCUUGGAAGUCGGAAUUUCCGAGUUCCGAGUCAAAAAUUCAUCUGGAACGGCCCCCUGAUGUCAGAUUUCUGACUCGGAAAGUCGGACCAUCCUUACCAACCCCCGACUUGACGACAACGUCAUAAUCCAAGAUGGCAGCGCAGUGCAUCAACAGUAAAGAGUAACAGUGAAAGCUCUUGUAAUUUAUACUUUAUUAGCACUUCUGUUUUGUUUUUGUGAAAUUAAAUAAGUGGUAUGUGUUGUGCUGCCCAAUGUCUAACUGUGAACACGGUGCUACGGUGUUUGUAAGAGUAAAAUAACGACAACUGACAUCAGCUAACAACAGCUGACAAUUGUAAACAACAGCUAACUGUAGGCUAACUGUCCAUCUUGGUUUUCUGACUUGUUGACUGGAACGCUGUCAACUCAGGUGUUACGUCAUUCCCAACUCAGACAUACGACUUCUGUGGUGAGUGGAACACAGCAAUAGUCCAAGUUCUCUCUUCCAGCAGCCGCUUGUUUGUAUGAAGACAUCCGGGGGAGUCCAUCAACUGCAACAGGGGGGACGCAGCUCAAGGAAGAACAUUUAUGAUCAUCUCCUCAUGGAAAUGCGAUCAGACCGAGAAGCAAAGGCGGGAGAACUACCGCGUCUGCAGUGCAAAAUGAUUAGUAUGAUGAUUGUUACUUCAAGGAAAUGAUAAAGAAAUGAUCAUAAAUAUUCUUCCUUGAGCUGCGUCCCCCCUGCUGCAGUCGAUCAACUCGCCCAGAGGUCUCUGUACAAACAAGCGGCUGCUGGAAGAGAGUAGGUGAGUUGUGUUUAGUCUCUUUGCUAAAGAAACCAGGUAAAGUUAAAAAGAUGUUUGAUGGCAAGUACUGUGGCUGGGACCGUCUUUGUACUGUUGAUGAAGUCAGGUGCUGUUCUGAGCAUUAUUUGUGGCUAUAGAGUGGCAUUUUGGUUGAGUGCAUGGCUUUCUGUAUUGCUAUCUGCAGUCGUUACUAAAGUUGGUAUAACUAGAGAAGCAAGCGGUCAGCAACAUUCAUCACUCAACGGGGUGUCUAACUUGGUGUUAAGGUGUGUUUGACCCUCACCUAAUAUUAUGCCGGAAUAUCCCUUUAACAUCCAUAAAACCGUUACAGUGGAGAGCUCAGCCCUCAACCACUGGGCCAUGGACUGGUCCCAAGCUUAGGCCUUUUUACACUCAGCCCAAACCCAGUGGGAAUACAUUACAUUUUUGGGUUAAAUAUGUCUUUCUAUGGUUACCUUUAAUUUCUAACUCCAAAUCCCCAAAACAAGGUGGAUUCAGGUUUUUUUUUAGGUUUUUUUUUUUUCACAUUUUAUUGUGUCUCCUGUGACUGUUAAAGCAGACAAAAGCUGUCUCGACCAGUCUCCUACAGUAACGUGACCCUUUAAUUGCAGGUCGUAACGGUCUGUUGAAAGACUGUCGUGGUCAAAUCAGCAGCUGUUCUUCUUCUUUUGUUUGACAGCAGCUCUCGUGUCACCGUGAACACGCCUCUGAACCUGUAUCAUUCAACUGCGUUUUAAUUCCAUAUUUGCACAAAAGCUAAUAACGCCUCUCUUUAAUCUACUCUGUUUGAGUUUAGCAGGAUUUAAUACGACAUGCCUCUGAGCAGUCAAGCUACUGCUGCUGCCCUUUGUCAUGUUUUCGUCUGUAAAUACAACCCGACAUGUUUCGGUGUUUGACACGCUCAGAAAUCCCUCUGCGUGUCGGAGAGCUGAUAAAAACACUGACAGCACAGGAGCUUUGUUUGAGUCAAACGUCUCUCUGACAUGAAGCAUGUCGCCGCUCUGAUGUUUGCUGCUCUGCCUGUAAUGAGAUAGUGAGAACAUGUCUGGAUGCCAUCUGUGUGUUCGUGUGGUGGGGGCUACUUUGUGUGACAGAGAUCAGAUGAUGUGUGUUUUACAGUGUUGAGGAAGCUGAAAGUGAACAGAGCAAACUAACUCGUUUGAGUCACUUUUUUAAAGUUGUUGAAAGACACUUUUUCUUCAAGAAAUCCAAAAUGUAACUGUUGUACAUCUACAUGGCUGACAAACAAGGCAAAAAAUGCUCCAGUUGUGUUUGAGUUUAUGCUAAAAAGGCUCAUUUUCAGCUGAUUGAAUGUAAUAAUUAUCAUGUAUUUUGCUGCUCACCCUGUCAGGAUUCUAAUGUGCAUGAUCACCUGUUCACAAUACAUGAUACCUGGCUACCAUCUUAUUCAAUGUAAUUUGUCAUUUCACCACUUUAUUCUUAUAAAUUCACAGCUAUGAUCCCACAAUUUUUAACUCUAUUUUUUUAAAUUAAAAAAUUGACAACCUCAUUUGUAUGAAAUUUCGACUUUGGUCUCCAAUUUGCAGCAUCAUGCAUGAAAAUGUAUGAUUUUGUGAAUUUAGCAAUUUCAUCUCACUAGUCUACAACUUGGUUUUUGUACAUUUACAGCUUCAAUCAUAACAAAUUAAUGACUGCAUUCUUAUGAGUAAACUUUUUUUUUUCCACAACUUUUAUCUUGUGAAUUAAGGAGAUUUCCGUUUUUUAAAUAACUGACAUUACUCUCAUGAUUCCCGAACUUUAUCCUACUGUGUAAACUUUAUUUUCAUAGACUUAAGACUUCUCCCUGUAAACUUGAGAAUUCACUUUUGAAUUCAUCAUUUUUCCUUCUGUAUUUAACUUAGCUAACUAAGACUUUACACAGAAAUAAAGUCUGAGGAAAGUUCAGGUUAGGAAUUGUUUCACACGUGCAUUUCGCCCUGGUAAAUUUUGGCAAGUUUUUGGGAGUUUCAUGCUCGUGUGAACACAGCUUUGCAUGCUAACAAUGUGGCAUUCAUGUAGAUCUGAGUUAGUCAGCAGGACAAGGUCAGACUAUGACUGAGAGGGGAGCUGACAGCCGUCACAGCUGACACCAGAUAGUCAAUAAUCCCAUUUCACUGGAGACAGGAAGCUGCGUUCGCCUCUUUGCAGUCACAGAUCAGAAGAAUCAGAAUUAGAUUCACCUUUCUGAUACUUUAACAACUUUAAGAGAUGGAUUAAGCCUUUAUUUGGUGUAAUUCUCCUUUAAGCCCUCUUCUCUCUGUCAGGUUUUAUAUAAUCAGAUGUUUUGUCUGUUCUGGUCAUCGUGGUGCGAUGCUGGCAGGCUGAGCGCCGCCUCAGGCUCUGACCUACUUCCCCAAAAAGCUCACCAUCCUUUUGGGCCACAAACAAUGAUUUAUCUGUGACCAGUGUGUGUGUCAGUAUGUGUGUAUGUGUGUGUGUGUGUCAGUGUGUCAGUGUGUCAGAGUGCACCAGGCCACUUCCUGACAUCAAUCCCAGCCAGACGCACGCACUCCGAGAGUGUUGACAGAUGCAACAAAGCGCCCCGCUACAAGUGUCCUCUCUCACCCUCUUCAGUCUACUGUACCACAGACAGGCACUCUCACAGGAGAUUGACCUUUGACGCUGAGGUCAUUGACCGUGAGACCCAGACGCUCCAUAACAGGAAGUGUUCGUUUUUUUCUCUCCGGACAGACGCUGAUCCUGCAAGAGGCCGAUGCACGCCAUCACAAACCAGUCCUCCUCUAUGUUUAUAUCAUGUUUUUGACUCUAAACUAUGCAGAGAAUGAAUAAAUACAGCUGAAGAGGACAAACAUCGAAACUCAAACUUGACCUUUGACACUCGAAUCCAGCAGCAUUCCUUCAUGAAGAGAAGCCAAGUCCAUGCGAGGAAUUCCCACUUAAGGUAAAAUAAACAGUCCGAGUCGAGGUUUGACAAGCUGAUGGACGGGCGGCCGGAGAGGGAAGACACCAAAACAGAUAUGUGUAAAUGGCCGACGCCAUUUUGCCACUUUCCGGGGGAAAAAAGACCCGUCCCCAAAGGAAGCGAGAAAACUGACACAACAGCAGACUGACUGUUUUUCAGUUCUGAUUAGACACUAGUGUUAAGAUGGCUGUCUGUCAUGAUAGCAUGUACUGAGUCGGGGCCAGUACCAGAUAAGCACAUUAAACUAUAAUCCAUAAACAUAAGGUAACAACCCAGACCUAAUGGUGCUGUGACAGCAACGUGAUUGAGUUUGAGACAGGGAAAAUACAUAUGGUAUGUUGUAUCUGAACAGGUUAGCUUAUGAGCUAAAGUUACUUAGCACAGAUGAAAGUUAAAACAAAGACGUUUAGCAAACUGCUAAAGCACACAAACCAUCGUCAUAUGAGAAAUCCAACGCUAUGACUCUCCACAAGUUAUCCUUCAG